AACUUCCCCAUAGAAUAUGCUUCUUGACACUUUUCACACCAAACAGUGCGAUGUGUAGAGGUGGCGAUCUUGUCAGAAAGCACAGAAACGCAGAAGUUUCAGUUCACUUACCUUUACCAGGACCUUUUAAGGAACGGAAGAGCUCUCUCUAGUGGUCCUGAAAGAAUACUGAGGUUUUCCUGAGUAUGUAGUUGCUUCUUUUUCUAGGAAAUUUUCUUUGCUAGGGUUUUUAGGAGAAUGUUUAUAUCACUGUAUUAUUAGUAUUAGUAACAGUUUGUUGGUUAAUUUAAUAUUAUCAAAUUAUUGCUUAAUUUUAUUGUGCUGCUUAAUGGCUUGUGGUAUUAUUAAUUUUAUAAAUAAUGAAACAGAUUUUUGAUCUUUUUUUUUCUGAAAACUUCGUACAAAAUGAGUUCAUAAAAUAUUAAAUUCAGUAUUUCUACGUUGCCUUUUCACGUUGAAACAGGUUUUCAUCACGUGCUUCUUUUAAUACACGUUUUCAUUUUUCUGAGUGUCACUUAAAAAUGCCCUGUGUUAUAGAGCAAUAUUACAGCGUUUUAUAUUAAUUGAUUAGUAAUACAAUUGACUUUCUCUGUUAGUAAUUUCUGAAAACAAUUGAUCGUUGUGAAAGUUAUGAAACUUAUUUUUGGUAUCACAUGGUUUCUUCGUUAUAGCUAGUUGAGUGCACCUGUGUUACACAAACCUUAUAAGGGUGAUAUAUAGUUAUAAAUUAAGAAUGUGUAAUGAUAAAUUAGCCAUGCAUAUUAAUUUGUGGUGCUCAAGUUUCAUGUAGACAGAGAAAUGAAUGAUGCCUUCUGCCACUACAUGGUGAUCAAACUGCGCAGUCCCAUCUCUAAAUACAAUUGCUGAGUGAAAAUAUGUUUUCUGCAACAGAGCACUCCACAUUUUAUGUUAUCCAGAUUAUUCCCUUUGGAAACAUAAAUUGCUUUUAUGAGGUAUAAAAUUAUGUCUAUUGCAGAACAGGGAUAAGUCAAGUACAUGCAUAAGUGAUAAACAUUCUAACCACUGAUUCAGAACAGCACGAUCUUUUUUUUUUAUAUUCAGAACUUUGUACAAUGUGUAGCAAUAAUCAUCAUAUUCAUUUUAUGUUGAAUUUUACAUUUUGGCAAACAUUUAAUUUUUAAGGGAGGGUUUUUUUUCCUCUAUAUUCUUGUUCCAUCUUUUGAAAAGACACACAACAUUUCCCUUCAGUCACACUUACUCUUCAAAAAAGAGCAUUACCUUUUCUAACCUGGUCUUCAAAAGCAUUUCUUGUAGAAAAUGUUUUAUGACUGAUGAAAUAUUUUCAAGCAAAACUAGAAAUUACCGUUUAAGCUGAACCAUUUUUGAAACACAUUGCCAUUAUGGUUUGCUUCUCUGUAAAAUGGUAGUAGAUGUGAAUAUGUGUGUGUGCGUAUACUCAAGAGGAUAUAUAUACAUAUCUAUGUAUGCAUACACAUAGAAUAUGUUUAUAGAUUAUAUAUACUUAGAGUUUCUCACAGUAACAACUGUCUUGAUGCAGAAGGGCGCAUUAUGCACAUUCUUAAAAAAAUGAAAACCUAAGAAAGUCAACAGUUAAAUACCUAUAAGAGCCAGAUAUCUUCUAGUGAUUUGUAAGAGAAAGUGAAUUACUGUUAAAUUAUAAUGUAUUUACAUGAUUAACAUAUUUUCUUUCUUAUGAAUAAAUAAUUUAUCAUAUUUGUUUUCAUAACCAAGUAUAUAGGAAACAGAUUAACAGCAUGAAAAAGAAUUGAUGGUUAAAGACUACUUUAUCAAUAUUUGAAUAUUAUUUAAUAUUUAUAAGAAAUUAAUAAAAUUUUUGUUAAAUAUAAGUGCAUUUUGAUUAGUAUUUAAGCAAUUCUUAAACAGAUUGAAAAUUUAACUUUUAGUAUUAUUCAUUUGAGGUAUGUAAAUACCAUUUCUGAUAGUUUUGUAUUUUCUUAUAAGAAUAUUAUGAUAAAAUAAUUAAAAACCUACCGUUGGACUGUUCAUUUUUACUCUAAAAUACCAUUUAGUCAUAUCAGGUUUCCCCCCUGCAAUUUAUAUUUUCUAUGUGUUCUUCCUUUGCUGAGUAAUUUUUCCUUCAUUAUGUGACCUCAGUCUAAUGAUGUAUUAAUUAUAAAAAGAUAAUACAUUUAACAAUAAGUAUAAUCAAAUUAGCACAGGUCACCAGAAGGCCUUUGUCAAAUCAGAUUGUUGUUUUGUCCUUUUGACUUUUACCUUAUGGUAGGCACUAACAAAGUAUCUGAACUUUGAUGGAUUAUAAACUCCAAACAUGAUAUGUAUUUUUCAUAAUGCUAAUAUAAUUUUCAAGGUACUGAAAAGGUCAAACCUGCACAUCUCUGUGUGCAUUCUAAAUCUGUCUUUCCCUUUAAUAUUUCUUUUUCUCUGUUCCUCUGGUUCAAAAGUUCACUCAGUUCCCAAAUGGCCACCUAAUUUUCCAGUUAUUCCCUCAAGCCAUAUGUGUUUUGGUUUCUUUAUGGUUUAUUAGGUACUGUAAAAAAGUAGCAUAAGUUAUAUCUUCUAAUGAAAUUCAAACACACUUCAGUGAUGCUUUGACUUGAUUGCUGGUAGCAAUUAAACCACAGCCAAGGAGAAUAAUGCAUUAUCUCACAAAGUCCAGACACCCUGUAGAAACUGAAAGGGGAUGAAAACGAAAACAAAGUCUCUAAACCCUGCCAGACACACAGUUUCUAGCCUGCCCUUUUUUUUUUUUUUUUUUACUGGCCAACUGCCCGAUUGAUAGCAAAAUCAUAACUUGCUGCAUGCUAACAGGCAGAGUUCACUUGUAGGUUAUUGUGAGCUGAUAAAGGGUUAGAUGGAGUUUUGAUUUUCGCAUUGGACCUUGGUACACCAGAUUAAUGGAAUUUCAAUGAGAGACUAGAGUAGCCACAGCUUUGUCAGAGAAACAGAUGGAGAUUCUAUAGUCAUGUCUACUCAUUAAUACUAGUUGCCUGAAAGGUAUGCUGCUUCUUUAUACAAAAGAGUUGAUAUAAUUGAUUUUUGAGUGGAGGGUUUGGGGGGGGGGAACCACCUUAUUGAUGACUAGAGUUGUAACGUAGACGGUGACAGAUUUUUGUAUAGCUUGUAGCAUAAAAAUUUUGUACUGUGUAAUUUUUUCUUGUCUCUUUGGAAACACAUUAUUUAUUUUUUUGGCUGGGGGGUGGGGAAUGCAUUUUCAGACCAAUAGGAAAAAAGGAGAAAAUAACAUGCUAAAUUACUUUUAAAGAAAAAGAGUAAGUCUGUAUUUUAUUUUUAAAUGAUUGCAUGACUGCCAUGAGAUUUUCAUUUUGAUAUGGUAAUAUUUAGGAAAAAAAAUUCUUAUUAGAAAUUUAAUUUUAUUAGCUUAGUGAUUUUUUUCCUGGAAAAUUUAAAAAACAAACAAAUAAUAAUAGCUUUUAGACUAUUGCAUAUCUCUGUUAGAAGUGUUUGCUAUUGUGUGGCUGAAUAUAUUGGAGUGUUAAUGUAAAUGGUGUAUGUAAGUAAUUAGAUAAAAUUAGAAAUAGUGAAACUCAAAACCUUAAAGAAUGUCCCUUAUUGUAUACAUGUUAGCAUGUUUUGUUUGGGUGGUAGGGUGAUACAUACUGGGUAGUUUUUAGACACUUGGUCCAUUUCUAUCCUGAAAUCAUUAAUUCACUUUUGUCAUUCGUGACAGAAAGCUUCUAACCAUAUAGCACCAUGGAAGUCCCCGAGGUAAGGUGAAAGGAUUCGGUGAGCUAGAAGACGUAUUGGCUCUGCCCGUCAAUGAUAGGUCGAAGGAUCCCGGUGGACAUUUGCUACAAAUCUGAUUCAGUCCUAGACCAUAAUCACUUUGUAGAUAAGAAUCUGGACCCUCUAGGCUGUGAAUAUAGGAAGGCUAAAAUGAAGCAGAAGGUAUAAAACAGUCACUUAACUGUGCUGGUAUCUUCCUAACCAAAAAUUCUCAAAUAACAUAGGUUACUGAAAGCUGUGGGUAUCGCAAAGAGAUGAGUUUAUUAAAAAAAAAAAAUUAGUUUAGGAAUGAAAUUGUUUUUUAAAGCUUAGGAAAUAAGAAAAAGGGCUAAUCUGUUUUGAUCACAAUUUGUAAUAUUAAAUAAUGUAUUUUCUUUUUUGGUAUAUCUUUCUUAAAGAAAGUGUAGGAAAAUUUGGAUUUUAUAUAAGUCACUUAUUGCAAAGGAUUGCUUAAAAAAGACUCUGCAAGAUGCCUAUAAAUGAUGAGUUCCCAUAGGGCAUCUAACACGCAGGCUUAGAUAUAAACCUACUCACGUGCACACGCAUAAAUUUAGUGCACCAAACUUUUGAGGAAAAUAUUUUUUGUGUAAAACUAGGUGCAGCACUAACCAUUUCUUAUAAAAGCCAAGCAAUAGAUGCUUUACUUUUUUCUGGGUUCCCAUAGAAUAUAAAAUAGUGUUUAAAGCAAAAAAUAGAGAGAUUCUUUCAAUAACUUUUCUUUUAGGGUAGGUGUUUUUCUACCAUAGUAGCAUGUAUUUUUUAUACUUAAAAUUAUACUUUUGCAUUUUAUUGAGCAUUUAAAUUAGCUUGCAGCUUGCACACAUUUUUUGUAUAUAUAACAUUUAUUAUUAUUGCAGUUAUUAUUUUUUACCAUUUUGGUUAUUUUAACGCACCAAAUUGCUAGUUUGUAUGUGCUUUUUCUGUAUAAGAACAAUGAUUACUUCAGUCAUUUUGUAAUGUACAUAGCACGGUUUCAAGUACUCUGGUAGUAGGGGGAAUAUAGUUUGGGAAAAUGGAUAAAAGACAUGUUUUUAACCCUCAUGAUACAUAUGGUGUGAUUGGGUAUGUAAAGUACACAGAUUUGAAAUAUUUUUGUAAUAUAAAGGGGUAUAUGAAUAAAUAAAAUCAAAUCGCUAUUGAGAGCCAUCUAAGUUUUAUGCCAUUGAAUGGGAAAAUACAUUAGAAUGUAACAAAGUGGGCAAAUAAAACUAUAAUAAAGUAGGCUAAAUAAGAAAGAUUGCAAAGGUAAUAAAACUCAACAUUAUGUAAGAUAAUUCAUCUUUAAUAUAGUAAAUUAGCAGUUAUUUACAGGGUACAUGAAAAAGGGAGCAAAACUCCUGGAUAUAGGGCCAUGGGGAUUCAAAGAUAAAUACAACAAAGUUCAUGUUUUCUAGAAACAUGUAAUCUAGAUGGAAAGAGAAGACGAUCACCUAAAAUGAGGUAACUAGCAAUCUAAGUUAUAGUAAGGCAGAUUCCCAAAAUAGCAAGUACUAUGUUAUAAUAUUUAUUUGAUCUGAUCUAAACCAGGGCAAAUAAUUGGUUUCAUUGAUUUUUCUCUCCCUAAUUUGUUGAUGGCAUCAGUCAUAAUUUUUGGCGUCAAGUGGAAUAAACUAAAACAUAAACUUUAUGCCUAAAUUCUGAGAGAUUGUGGAGUAAAUGGUGGAACAAAUGCCUUUAGUUCAAGAGAAUUUUGCAUAAGUCCUGAGAUUUGCUGGAGAGGAAGUGGGUAAAGGUGCUGGAAAGGACACUUGGAGUAGAAGUCCGGAAACAAGGUUUUCAUACUGAUUGAUAAUUUUGUUGUCACAGUCUCUCUGGAUUCUUAUAUUCUGGUUUGUGAAAUGAAGAGUUUAGACCAGGUGAUUGCUUACUUAGCAGUUGCCUUGAACUCUAAAUGCUUGUGUCCCAGAUUUGAGAAUUAGUAAGCUUAGUGGUGGCAGUUAGGUGAUUUGCCUGAAGAAGAUAGGCUUUGUGGGGAAUAGUCAGAGGUGAUGUUGAUUAGGGGACAGGAAUGGAAGGGGUUUUGCAGGUAGGUGCGUGGUUGACAGUAGGAGCUGAAUACCAAACUAAGCUAAGGAGUUUGCCUUUGACUUGGUGGUCAUUGAGAGGUCCCUGAAGUAAUAUACUUAAGUGACUAAUGCAAAUUUGAGGGAGAUUGUUCUGCCAGUUAAAUGUAGGAUGAAUUAAAGCAAAGAGACCUUAUGGAGAUUCAGUGAAGGCAGAAAGCUAAAUGCAUUGAUUGCUACACUAUUUAUUUUUAAUCUUGACGGUAUCUUUGUAAGUUAGGUAUUAUUACCAUUAUUUGACAGUUGAGGAAACUCAGGUGGGGAGAGAGAGGUUAAAUGAUUUGCUCAAGGUUAUGUACCUACUAAAUAGCAGAACUGGAAUUUGAAUUCAUGUAUGUCUGACUCCAAGGCCUAAGUUCUUGAAACUGCUACAUUUUACCACUUCUGCAACCAAGAUAUUGUUUUUAUUUCAGGAGGAGCUGAUGAGAGCGUGGGUUAUGGUAGUUGGGUAUUGCACUGAAAAGGAAGAGAUUCCUAGCCCCUUGCUACUCAAAGUAUGGUCUGCAGACCAGCAACACCUGUCAGAUGAGGGGUCUCAAAGGUAUGGCAGGUGUGGCACGUGCCCUAGGUGUCACUUGAGGCGGGGUGGGGAGGGGGCGACUGAGUGGUUUCUAUUACCCAUUGCAGUUUCUGUUGCCAGUGUAAGAGAUCAUUCAGCAAGUUAAAACUAAUAUUUUCAUAUUUGAGAGCCUCCACUGGUCAAGGAAGACUGUAUGAUCUUGCUCUGCUGAGUGCAGAAAGAGAAGAAACUGAAAAAAAAAAUGACUUUGAGCACAUCAUAGACCAAUUUUCAUCGGUGAAAGCAAGGAAGGUACAGUUGUACUUGUCACGUGGUGCCAUUAUGUGUUAAGUGAAAGAUUAAUGAGCUUGACUUGUACUUCUGAGCUGAUAUUAUGACACAUUUAUCUAAAAGAUGGGUGUCACAUGUUCGGAGAGGGCCUCAGAGGCAUAGAGAAGGGGUACGCUGAGGGGGGCACUUACCCCUGGGCACAAGUCCAAGGGGGCACCAGAUGACAAGUGGAAUGAUAUUCCGAGGUUCCCCACGUAUGAAAGGCGCAUGAUUGAGGCAGCUGGGCAAGAGGUGGGAAGGUGUUUCUGCUGACACUUUGCAGCUGUCAACCUCUGUUCAUUUUGAAAUGGGUGGAGGGUGGUGGGGCGCAGCUUAGAGAUUGCCCACUGGUGCUCCUUAUGCCUCUAAAACAAAAAACCAAACCUGUGUCCAUGGAGUUGAUUCUGACUCUGCAGGGGUGCCAUUUCAGUGCUUGCUAUAGGCAGUAUUUUCUGUAGAUAAGCCUCUGCAUUAAAAUCACCUAAGAGCUGUUAGAAAUGCUCAAUCUGUCUCCACCCGGACCGGCUGAACCUGAAUUGGCAUUUUAACAAGAUCUUUUUUUUUCUAGGUACACAGUAAAGUUUGAGAAGCUCUGUCCUGGAGGCAUUUAUUGUACAUACAGUAUUGGCCCUUGCAGCUGAAAAGAAGGCUCAGCCAGACCAUGCAGUUGUACUUGAUUUUUUGCAUGUUCAAAUGCGCAGCAGGCAUGGCUCUAGGCAAUGGCCUUGAAGUGGGUAAAAAAUAUUCUUCUUUGUGUCCAUCUGCCUCCACAUCCUGCCCUCUUCUGUGGUUACUCAGCACCCGAAUGCUGUGACGGUCUUGACUGUACAGGGCCCCCUCCUAUGGUUACUCUCUGUGGGUGGCUGUCCCAUAUUUGAACCUGUUUCCUAACCCUCUUCCCUUUCACAUCAAACACUGUGUUAAAUACUUUGGAGAGACCCUAAUAAAUUAGGAGUAAUUGCAUGUUAAUAGGGGCAGUACCUUAACCAAAGGGAGUUCAAGCCCAAUUCGCAGAUUGUAGAUAUCAGCACCAAGCCAGUGGUUGGAGAUAUUUUUGGCUGUUGCAGAGCAACAUCUCUCAUAAGAUUUAGGGACCUGGUGGGCUUACCUUUCUUGCUGUGUACAUGUGCAUUCGGCUGGCUCUCGGAGUUUGGAGAAGUCGCAAUGAAUAGCUUCUUGUUUUCAGUUGUGUCUGCAUGUUUGCAGCCAGAGGCAAAGUGUGGUUUUAGAGUUUAAAAAUAAAAAAGCAAAGAUUCUUUAAGACAGUGGACUGACCUAUUUGAGAGGAAGGCAUACUAGCCCAAAACAGGAUCCCAAUGAGAGCUUCCUUCUGCUGAGACAAGUACCCUGAAGAUGGCUGUGCUGGUGGUUGGAAAAGAAGAAAAAGGGGUUUAAAAACAAACAAGCAAGCAAACAAACAAAAUUUUAACCAGUAUUUAUUAUGCCACAUUCUUUCAUGUAAAUUAUUUCCUUUUAAUCUUCUCAAAACUACUUCAUGAAGAAGAUGUUUUUCGUAAUAUGCAGUUGAGGGAGGAAACUGAGACUCAGAAAGGCUUAGGUUUCUUGCCCAGGACACCUAACUCAUAAGUAGCAAACUUCAACAGCUUCGGUUGUUCUAUACCAUGCUACUUUAUAAAAAUUAGACUUUUUUUUUUUUAAAUUACAGGAGACAUGCAUAUGGUUAAAAAUAAAAAUGAACAGAUCGGUUUAUAAGAAAAAGGAAAAGCCUUCUUUUCCAUCCUAUUCCCACCCUCUGCGUCUACUCCAAAGGCAGCCGCUUGUUAUAGUUUCUUCUGUAGUUACCACAUAACUUUGGAUAUUAUGUUUCUAUUUCUUAUUUGAUCAGCUAUAAGCAGUGUAUCUAUUGACUCCCUCCCUUUUGCCUACCUCCCAAUUUUUAUUUUUAGUUCUUUUUUGUUUGCUUUUGACUUAAAUGAUGUCCUUCUUUUUUACUAUGCCAUUCUCAGACAGUGCCUAUUGACCCUUUAUUCUCAGACAGUGCCUAUUGACCCUUUAUUAUAAAAUAUGAGGAAAUUAGCGCACCCAGCCUUCCUUCCAUCUCUCUUUCCACUCUCCAAUUCCAAUUUUGUUAAUUAUUUUUGCAUUGUUAAAGCCUGUUACAUUUAUAUUUGAUUUUUUUUUUUUUUUUUUUUAAACUCUGAGUUGACUGUGUUUUGUCUCAAGCUGAAUUCUAACAAUUGGUCCUUUUCCUUCAUUCUGUUGGCUUUCCUUAAAUGUCUGAAGAGUCUUGCUUAUUGAUUCCUAGUUAUAAGUGAAGGGCUCUUUAGGGAGCUUAUGUGGUAUUCCUUUAUUUUUUUAAUUUUUUAUUUUUUGGUGUGUGUGUUGUCUGUUAUCCCAAAAAGCUUUUCCUUUAAAUGAGAGUUCUGACUGGGUGUUAUGAGUAAGUGGGCAAGGCUUGUCUAGAGGUAGUUGGCCUGCAAGGUGUGUUGGUGAGGAGCAAAGAGGCAAACUGGGACCCCCACAGUUUGGGAGGUCAUUUUUUUGGGGGAGGUUACAAACCAAACUAGUUUCUAUUGAAUUGAUUUUGACUCAUGGUGACCCCAUGUGUGUCAGAGUAGAACUGUGCUCUGUAGGAUUUUCAGUAGCUGAUUUUUUUUGAAGUAGACUGCCGGGCCUUUCUUCUGAGGUACCUCUGGGUGGACUCGAACCUCCAACCUUUCGGUUAGCAGUUGAACACGUUAAUUGCACCACCCAGGGACUGGGGGGAUGUUGAAUGCUUUUAUUUCAUUGCUAGCUACAGGUUUUUGAUGCCCCUCCAUUCUUUUCAGGGGAUGGGGUGUGGGCAGUUUAGAACUACCUGAAGCUGUCUCACCUUCUCUCUUGGGUUUCAAUAUCCUCACUGGGAGCCCUCCCUAAGGAGUUAGUGUACUUUGUUUAGAGAGUGGAGUUCAGAAUUUAGCCAAAAGACAAAAGCCUUUACUUAGCUGAAUUGGCUACACUGCCCUAUGAUUGACCCUCCUCCUCAUUCUCAAGCUCUGUUUGUAGCUUCUCUGAGGUGCCUUUGGGAACACAAGCACUUACUGUCUUUGGUGUACUCCUUGACUUUGGUUUGCUCUGUUGUGUCGUCUUCAUCACUUCUCUGCAGUAUCGUCGUUAUCACUCUUCUGCUGUGUCUUCUUCACUUCAUGUGCUGUCUAGUUGCUAGGAAUUACUUAGAAUUUUUGAUGAACUGAAGAUAGCCUUUAUUACCAAUGUUUUAAAGGCAUUAUUCCUUAAAAACUAACAAAAAGAAUUGGGGACUUUAGGAGGAAGGGUUGUUGCUCAGUCUGUGCUGCCUUUUUAGUGACACCAAGAGGCUACUUUAUUGUAAAACAUUUUCACAACUGGUCAGUCUAUUAGAACCUAGAUACUGUAAACAAUAGGAAAACAAAAAUGAAAACAAAAAACAAAACUAUGUCUUCCCCUAGAAGAAUUGUAGUCUAAUUAUGGGUACAAGGUUUACAUACUUAAUAGUUGGAAACCUUAUCAACUUUUUUCAGAUACAUAAAUGCAUGGCAUUGACCGUAUUCAAGGAGAUCAAAAAAGGAAGAAGCUAUUUCAAAGUUGUGUCAGUGAGUGUUUUUAUGGAAGAGGUUGGAGUGUCAACUAGAACUUAACAAUGUUGGGUAGAAUUUUAAUUAGUAGAGAAUGCAGGGGGAAAUGCUUUUCAGAUAAGCUGAGGGAAUAGGGGAGAAUAGGAAAUGGAGCUCAAAAUGAGUGUACUUUAAGGAACUGUGAAAAGGCCAACAUGAUUGAGAAAGAUUGGAGAAGACAGAGAGAUAAGGAUUGACAAGGGUGGCAUGUAAAAAGCUUUGGCCCUGGCUUCACGUCCUGAUCAGCCACUAAAUGAGUUCCUGUGGCUAAGAUACCACCUUUAUGAAUUGGUUUCUACCUCUUUAAAAAGAAUCCCAUUAUUUUAGGUAAAGUAGAACCAAAGCACUGAGAACUUUAAAAUAGUAUCAUAAGGAGUUGAUUCAUUUAGCAAAAUGAGCACCCAUUUUAGACUUUUGGGCAAGAGGGAGGCAUGAUGAAAAGUGUAUUCUAGAAAGAUUUAGCUGGUUGUGGGGUAUAGAUGGACUGAAGAGGAUGACAGCCUUUAGUUGUGAGAUAAGAGACCAUUCCAUUAAGUCAGAUGUGAAAUGGUCCGAGUGUAGACCAGAAUAGGGACAGUGAAAUGGGAAGUGAAAGGGUAUAUCUGAGGAAGAAGGACAGGAUUUGUUAAGUGGGUAUGUGUGGACUAAAAAGAGAGAGUAAGAGGCGGAGAGAGACAGAGAAGAGAGACAGAGAACAGAGAUGACUACAAAAUUCUAAAUUUUGAUAACUGGGAAAAUUGAAAUGUGAAAAUUGGGAGAUGAACAGGUUUGGGGGAAGAUGAUGAUGAAGGAUCUGGGUUUAUGGGGUUGAGUUUGAAGUAACAGUGGACAUCCAAACUGCAUAGUAAGUAGUUAGAAAUAGGGGAGUAGAGCUUAAGUGAGCCUUAGCUUGCCCUUUCUAGUUUCAUCUCUUUUUGAGCAGAUGUAGAAUGAGACUUACCCAGCCAUCCUAAAAAUGAAACUGUUUGAAAGCAGGUUCUGAAAUCCUACUGUCUGGCCUCUUCACUACUUACCGCUGUGACCUCUGACAAGUUGCUUAACCUCUCUGACUUUUCUCAUCUAUCAAAUGGGGAUAGUAAUAGUACUCACAUCCUAUGGUUAUUAUGAGGACUAAACAGGAUAAAGCAUAGAAAGAACACAGAAUACUGCCCAGCCCAUAAAAAUAGUAAGGGCAUAAAAACACAAAACAAACCCAUUGCUGUUGAGUUGAUUCUGACUCAUAGGGACCCUGUAGGACAGAGAACUGCCCCAUAGGGUUUCCAGGGAGCGCCUGGUGGAUUUGAACUGCCCACCUUUUGGUUAGCAGCCGAACUCUUAACCACUGUGUCACCAGGGCUCUUAGUAAGGGUACAGUAGGUGGAUAUUAUUAUUUUUAUCUAAUCUGUUUUAAAGGUUGCCUGAGAUAAAUGUUCCUUUCCACUUAACACAGCUAUGCGCCAGAAGUGUCGUUUGUCUUUUGUACUAUAUAGCUCAUUAUGUCUCAGUGACUUAAGCUGAGUUUUGUAGGAUUUACAGUUGGAAUCUUUAGGGAUUCAAAAUACAUGAUAAUUUUUUUUUUAACUUUUAUUAAUUGGAUAUUCUGGUGUGGAAAACUAUUACCAGUUAAAUUUUCUGUAGCAAAUUUUUCAUGCCUUCGCCCAGAACCGUUCUACCUCUCUUUGCCCUAGUUACUCUCUAGUGAGUAAAUAAUGGGAAUAUGAAAAUAAUUUUAUACCUGGAAGAAUUUUGCAUAUAGGCAUAUCAUAUAGGUAUUAUGAGCCCAGGGAGGGAGUCAUCCUAUUUUAUACAUGAGCUCAAUAGCCAUUGAUUCAAAAGUUUAUGUACUUUUGAGAGCAUAUGAAUGAAUUUGAAAUGUAUUAAAUUUUCUUGUAAGGCUAUAUAUGGAAAAUAGUGGGAAAAGAGUGGUCCAAAAUUACUAGGAAAAAAGAUACCAAUUGAUGUCUCAUUAUUCUCUUUUAUAAGCCAAAUAUGAUAAUGCUAAAAAGAAUAACAGAUCUAAACAGAAGGAGCAGGUAGUAUACACAACUCAAAUGCAGGGCUUGAAAGUUAUUAGCUGCAAAUAAAUGCUCUGUUAAUAAAUAAAUCCAAUGAGGAUUAGGACAAAAAUUAUUGUUUAUUUUUACAAAGAUUAAUCAUGGAAUAGUGUCUUUGGUAUCUGCUUACCAAAUUGGUUUUUUUCCAAAACGGAGAGUUCAUGUUGGGGUCUUUACUCCUAAUACUUGAGGGAAAAUUGAUACAGCAUGCUAUAGAUUUUAAAAUAAUAUAGAUACUAUUGAAGAAAAUGUCUCUGCAAGGAAAGUGUAAAAAUCAACUUGAGUAAAUUAUUUUUUUGAGGAUUUCUUUUCCUAAUAUGCGUAGCACAUCGCAGUGCAGAAUUGGGGCUGAGUAAGAAUAAAGCAAUUCUUUUACUAAACCUGCUGAAAUUAUGACUAUUGAGUAUAUAUGCCCUACUGGGUUAAAAGUGAUGACUUUGAUUUUACAGAGUUCUCUAACCAUUUUGGGGUAGUGCUUAGGAUUCUUUUUUUUUUUUUAAACAGCUUUAUUGAGAUACAAUUAGUAUAACCACAGGAGUCACCAUUUAAAGUGUAUAAUUCAAUAGUAUUUAUUCACAGAAUUAUGCAGCCAUCACCCUAGUCAAUAGUAGAACAUUUUUCUCCCCCCCCCACCAAAAAGAAACCCUGUACCGUGAGCAGUAGCUCCUCAUUCUCCCUCCUCCCCAAACCACCCAGCUCAAAGCAACUACUUAUCUACUUUCUGUCUCUGUGAAUUUGCGUAUUGUGGACAUUUUGUAUAAAUAGAACCAUAUAUAUGUAAUAUGUGGCUUUUUGUGUCUGGUUUCUUUCACUUACCAUAAUGUUUCUGGGAGUCAUCCAUGUUUUAGCAUGUGUCAGUACUUCAUUCAGUUUUAUGGCAGAAUAACAUUUUAUGUGUAUACCACAUUUUUUUCAUCUGUUAGUUGAUGGACAUUUGGGUCGUUACUACAUUUUGGCUUUUAUGAAUAAUGCUGCAAUGAACAUUUGUGUAGAAGUUUUUGUGUGGAUAUAUGUUUUCAUUUCUCUUGGGUAGAUACCUAGAAGUGGAAUUGCUGGGUCAUAUGGUAAGUCUAUGUUUAACUUUUUUGAAAAGUUGCCUGACUGUUGGGCUCUACUUUUUCCACAUUCUCGCUAUCCCUUGUUAUUGUCUUCUUUAUUUUAGCCAUCCUAGUGGGUGCGAAGUGGUAUCUCAUUGUGGUUUUGAUUUCAGUUUCUUCAGUGACUAAUAAUGCUGAUCAUCUUUUCAUGCACUUAAAUUGGCCGUUUAUACAUCUGUAGAGAAACGGCUAUUCAAAUCCUUUGCCCAUUUUUCAAUUGGGUUACUUGGCCAUUUUAAAGUUGUCAGAGUUCUUUAUAUAUUGUGGUACUAGACCCUUAUCAGAUAUAAGAUUUGCAGAUAUUAUGUCUUCUUCUGUGGAUUGUCUUUUUACUUUCUUGAUGGUGUCCCGUGAAGCAAAGUGUUUUUAAUUUUGAUGAAGUCUAAUUUAUCUACUUUUUCUUUUGUCACCUGUGCUUUUGAUAUGUCUAAGAAGGCUUUGCCUAACCCAAAGUUCUUAAGGUGUUCUUAACUUGAGGCUAUUUCUCAAAAUACUGACUUCUUUUGAUCAAAAGAAUUGUGAGAUUAAUAUACCAAUUAAACAGGGAUAUAUCAUAAAAACCUUUAAUGUUAUUGUUGCUCAGUGCAUAUUUAAAAAAUUGUGCAAAUGGCAAACGUGAUUUUCUUACGGCGCCUUUUCAACUUAGUGAAUUCUUGAAUUCUGUAGCCUCUAAUAUCAUAUUAAAAAAAUUUUUUUGCUUUGUGUUGUGGUAUAUGGUGUCACUUCUCUCAUUUCUAGAGAUAUCAUCUGUGCCUUUUGAAAUGUAAAUGCAGUAUGAUUUGUUUCAUUAUGGAUAUAAACGUUUAAUUAAUGGCUUUUCUUUCAUGUCAGUUUUACUUUAACAAAUUAUUUCAGAGAACACAUAGUCUUAAGUAGUUUAUUUUGUUGACUUUCUGGCUUUUCUGAGGCUAGGCUUUGUCAAUGCAUAGUUACGGUGGUUGUAGCAGUCUAAACAAUGCUGGCAUCAUAGUCUUGGAAAGAUGGUUCUGUCUUCAGCUUUCAAAAAGAAAGUAGGUUUGGGUUUUUGAACUUGUCUCUUCUCCAUUGUAGGGUCACCCCCUCCCCAUUUGUCAGUCACCAAAUUGAGCAGUCUUGCCAGGUAACAGAACUGAGACACAGGGUAGCCAUGUAAAUUAUCUAAGCAGCUCCGAAAGUGUGGUCUGCAGGCUGGUUCUCGUCUGUGAUGCAGAAAUUGAGAGUAAGCGCUUAGAAACUUAGAGCAAUGUAACAUUCCUGCAUUAUCCAACUAUGUGAUUAUUUUUUCCUAACAAUUCAUAUUUAUUGUAUGCUUUUACAAAAUUGUUAGUUCGUGACAGUUGGGGGAAAAACCAGUGCUUUUUCACAGAUAGAAGCAUUGAUCUAGAGUAAGCAAGUAGUCUCAAAACUCUUAACUUUUGAUUUCUGGUUGUUCUUCUGAGAGCCUUCUAUAUUUAUAUCUUUCUGCAUAGUCAUGUUUUAAUUAAAAUAUUAGGUCAUUUUCAUUACUAUGAAACUUUAGGGAUUCUAAUCCCAAAAUUCUUGUAAAAAAUACUUUCAGGUUCCAAUGUCGUAAUCAGAUAUCUAAUCACAUUUUCAUAUCAGAGCCUUGAGAGCAGUCUCCAAGUUUGAAUGCUGUUAUGCAAUGGGGCAGCUUUAAAGCUUUCCAUUUGGAAUAUCCAGAGAAAAGGUUAAUGUAAUUUGAAUAUCAUCUAGUUCUUUUUCGUGAUUAAAAAGCAGAGAAAAGUAGUGUCAUACUUGAAGACUUCUAUCAAAUAAGUAAUUUCAUCUCAGAGAUGCUAUCUGUAAAUGUCUCCAAAAACUCCUCUUCACUUUUCAAUACCACUUGUGAACUUUUCUACUUUAAACAUGCCCAUGAUUUUCUUUAACACUAAAGGAGAUUAAUAAAAAUAAUAUUUUAGUAUUAAAAAUACUAAAAUGUUUUACCACAGGAAAAGAGAAAUGCACGAAUAUUUAUUUCAUUGAAUAGGGCUCAUUUUGGUAUUGGUAUCCUGGGAUGUAUGUCUUGGAAUAUAUGUGUGCUAUAAACCUUUAAUAUGCUUAGAAUAGGAUUUCUUUGCUAAAAGAAAAUGUGUCUUGUAGAAGGUAAGGAAUUGAUUUUUUUAAAAAAAAUAAGUAGUAAGAAACAAUGUUGUGUGUUUCAGGCAGAGUGCUAGAUAGAAUACAUGUUUAAUUUAACAAGUUUUACUCUUUGUUAGACUGGGGAGAAUAAAAUGAUUAAUAAGACAUGGCACCUGCCUUCAAGGACCUUAUAGGCUAGUAAACCAAAACCAAACCAAUUGUCAUUGAGCCAAUUCCAACUCAUGGCAACUCCAUGUGUGUCAGAGUAGACCUGUGCUUCAUAAGGCUUUCAGUGGCUGCUUUUUUAGAGGUAGAUCACCAGGCCUUUCUUUCAUAGUAUCUCUGAAUGGACUCGAGCUGCCAGCCUUUUGGUUAGCAAAGAGCAUGUUAACCAUUUGCACUACCCAAGGACUCCUAUGGACUAGUAAAGACAGAGGUAAACAUCAACUCUAAUUCAAGGCUGACGUAAUCACUACUACAAGGAAUGGAGAAAGAAGUGGAUAAUUAUGAUUGGAAUGAAGAAAGCUUUGACAGUGGAGGUAGCAUUUGAGCCAGGUCUGGAAGAAUGAGAAGGCUUAUGUGCAACAUGGAGGUAAUUGCAUUUCAGAUUUGUGAGACAUCCUGGUAAAGGAAUGUAUUGAGUCCUGACCAAUACAGUGCACCAAUUAAAGUGCGCAUGACAGAAAAGAAACGUAUCUCAAACUGAUUGAAACAAAAACAAGCAAACGACAACAAGAACAAAAAUUGAAAGAGAAAUUUACUGGUUCACCGAGGAGAAAAGGGAUAUUAUUAUGUGAUAAUUUCCACGUUCCAUUGGAUCACCUUUCUUUGGAAUGGGCACAAUGUAGAUUUCUUCAAUUGGUUGGCCAUGUAGCUGUCUUCCAAAUUUCUUGGCAUAGACAGGCGAGCACCUCCAGCGCUGUUUUUGUUUUUCUCCAGUGCCCUCAGUGCAGCUUAGACUUCUUCCUUCAAUACCAUGAGUUCUUAAUCACAUUCCACCUCCUGAAGUGAUUGAACAUAACCAGUUCUUUUUGGUGCAGUGACUGUGUAUUCCUCCCAUCUUCUUUUGAUGUUUCCUGCAUCAUUCAGUAUUUUGCCCAUAGAAUCCUUCGAUAUUGCAACCCAAGGCUUGAAUUUUUCUUCAGUUCUUUCACCUUGAGAAAUGCUAAGUGUGUUCUUCCCUUUUGGAUUUCUAACUCCAGAGCUUUGUAUAUUUCAUUGUAAUGCUUUACUUUGUCUUCUAGAACUGCCCUUUGAAAUCUUCUCUCCAGGUCUUUUACUUCAUUAUUGAUGUCCUUGAUGUCAUCCCACAACUCAUCCGGUCUUUGGUCGUUAGUGUUCAGUGCUUCAAAUCUAUUUUUAGAUGGUCUCUAAGCAAGAGUUAGAUUAAACUCAAACCAAUCCCUUUUGCUUUUAGUAUCUAUAAGAAGAUUGUUGCAAUUAUAUAUAUUAAAGUUAAAAAAUUAGAAUUUUUACAUUAUUUGAAUUUAAUUUGUCCUAAUGGACCUGUCUUUUUAUUAUAUAUUUUUAAAUUUGUAUUAUAAAAAAAAUUUGAGAGUUAAAAAAGAUACAAGGUUAAAAAAAUGAGUUAGGAGGUUAAGGCAAAGAGAAGGAGGAUAGAUAGGAAAAAUACAGUGAAACUAGGAUUAAUGUUUCUAUCUCAGAUGCAUACCAUAAAUACUCUAGACCUUUGCUGGAGAUUGGCUAGGUAUUUGGCCCUGAGCUUUCUAUUGGCCAACACAAAGAGGGAAAACUGAUCAAGUGUGUGAUUUAUAGUGCCCUUGAUAUAAAAAUAAAUCAGACACUCAAGAGUUAGUAGUACUAGGACGUAGAGAAAUAUUAUCCAAAGAGGCUUAAAGAAAGUAUACUAUGUGAUGUGGUAAAUAAAAUUCUUAAGAGUACAUUUGAUAACAUUUUAGAGUUUUUUCUUAAAAGAUCCGUCAAAAAAAACAUAGAAUCUGUCAAUAUAUGUAUGUAGCCUAAUGCCAAAACACAGUUUAGGACAAAUCAUAAGGGACCAAAAUAACUGUAUCAGGGCUGGCAAUCUAUGGCCUGUGGGAUAAAGCUGGCCUGCUGCUAUUUUAAUGAAUAAAGUUUAAUUGAAACACAGCCAUGCUUAUUUGUUUACAUAUUGCCUAUGACUGCUUUCAUGCUACAGUGGAGAGUUGAGUAGUUGUGACAGAGACCAUAUGUCCUGCAAAGCAUAGAAUGUUUCCUAUCUUAACCUUAACCUGGAAAGUUUGCCAACCCCUUGUUUAGAUACAAAAUUCUAUGCUGGAUUGGUUUAAAAUAAGGAUAGCAUAUAAAGUAUCUAGAGCAGAGAUCUCAAUCUGGUAGUCAAGUCCCAAAUUUGCAAUAUAAAAAAAAUUAUUUGGCCAAAUCACUAUUUUUUAAAAAUUUGAGACAACACAGAAAAAUUCAGAGUUCCACAUUCUCUAGAAAAAAUUAGAUGACCUGUUUGGCAUUGUGUGUGUCACUGAGUAGCACACAUUCCCUUUAGUUGCACCAUCUCUUUCUAAUUUGCCACAUUCCCCAUCACUCUUAUGUACCUUCCAGUCCUGGAAUCCUUCAGAUAUCUUUUUUCGUUACUAUAGAGAUUUGUGGCAUAGUGGUUAAGAGCUAUGGCUGCUAACCAAAAGUUUGGCGGUUCAAAUCCACCAGGUGCUCUUUGGAAAUCCUAUGUAUGGGGCAAUUCUACUCUAUCCUAUAGUGUCACUAUGAGUCGGAAUUGACUCGAUGGCAACAGGAUAGAGAUUUGAGGUUUUAGGCCCUGGAUUAUGGGAAUAGCAGCACUAUACAUACUUCAGCCAUGGUCAAGCAUAUUGUUUCUUGUAAUAGUACUGGACAGCAUAGAAAUUGAAGAUGUAUUCUCUGACUGCUACAUGAAGUGUAGUUAUUCUCGUGCUACUUAUUAUAGACAGAUCAUAUACUAUUUUGGCCAGCAGAAUUGGAGGUAGAGUUGAUAUUCUCUUCGGAAGCUGAGGACCUUGUCAAGGAUAUGUGCCUGCAUAGAAGACCAACUCACCUGUAUGUAAAGGUGGGCCAAGAGAAGACCCACAGGCAGGCCAGAUUUUUCUCAGAAAAUAAUUCUAAUUCUAUCCUAAUACAAAGACAGAUGGGUAGGUGAGAAGUAAAUGUCAUAUCUCUUAUAUUUAUUUGGGUCAUCGAUAGUCGUAUUUAACAAAGGUGGUAAUGGAUAAGGCUAUCACCAUAGAAAUGAAGAACACCAGUUGGAUUUGUCAAAGAAAAUAUGAAUGUUAAUUUAUUAGAUUAAGCAAGUAGAAAAGGGUUGUAAGGCAAGUGAAAAUUUAGUUUGUUGGGGAAGGGGAGCCAGAAGUAGGGGGGAGACAGGGCUUGGUGUACUUCUGGCGAGCACAGGUGUGAGAAGGGCCCAACUAGAGGCUUAUUGGUCCCCAUGACUGGUAGGGAAAAGGGAGAGUAAGGAUCUCAAGGGAACGUGGGGAAAAACCAAUAGUAAACUUAAUAAUUAUGCCUGAGGUGAACAUGGACACUUAGAUUCCUUUCAUGAGGAAGUGAUACCAUUUAUAAAGAAAAUGGGCAAGUGGGUAAGAAAGAUCAAGUCUGUUGAACUUAAAAGAGUAUUGAAAAAUUCAGUCAGUCUGAGAUAUGGGAUAGAGAUAUGGAGAAUCAUUGAUUUAUUUGCCUAAACAUGCUGAAUGUCAUGAGAAAGAUAAGACUUGCCAGAGAUCGUAGAAGGAGAUAGAUUAGGAGGUUCAGAAUGGAGACAUCUGCCCUAAUUUUCCUCACAGUCAAACCAGGAGAAUUUCUUCUUUUGCUUCUCAACACAUGAUUCUAAUUUUCAGAAUUUUAGUAGCUACUAAUUACUAUAAUUCCUUAGAAUUAUUACGUAGUUGUCAGGGUACUUCUUAUAUUGGUAGUUUUCUUUGACAUUCAUUUGAAUGUGGAUAUAAUCUUAGACUUCUGUGUCCUUUUUGUUUUUAUUGUCUAAUUAUUUCCUCCCUUGUAAUUCAGUAUAACAUAUGUUCCAAUAAUGUUUAUUAACUAUGGUUUGUCCUGACAUCUUAAACAAUAUUAAGCAAUAUUCAGGGGGAGACCAGCUAUACUUCUAGUAUCUAAAUACUAAAUUUUCAAGGGCUUUUUAAAGAGAAUACCUUUUGUACUUCAUCAUAUGAAAGAUGAAAUUUUAUUAUUGUAGUUAAAUGCACAGAUUAUGGUAUCACAUAUACCUGGGUUCAAAUUCUGGUUUGACACUGUGACUUUGGAAAAAAUUAUGGUCUCUCUAAGGCUUAGUUUCCUCAGUUAUAAAAAUAGGGAUAAGCACCCCAUAGGAUUGUUGUGAGGAUUAAAUAAGCAUCUGGAACAUAGGACUUGCCCAAUAAAUGUUAGCUCUUGGUUCUUAACUGUGUCACAAAAUGACCAAAAGAUUGGAUGAUUAACUUAGUUUUAGUGCAUAUUUUCUCUGGAAUUUUUACCCAUGUUUGAACAUAGGUAGUUUAAGUGUGUUGGACAAUACUGCAACCAAUUGCAUCAUGUUUUAAGUAGCUAAGCAGUGAGUUGAUAACUUUAGGAUUUUUUUUUUUAAAGAUUUAAUAUUCAGUGUUUUACUAUUAAUAUGGCAGGCACUUAAAUGUCGUGCACACAUAUCAUGAUCUGUGUUAAAUUUCAGUGAUCUGUUUCUUUUUAACUUGGGUGAAUUGUAUUUAGCUUCAUGCCUUUGGCAGACAACGGGAAAGUAAUGCAACAGUACCAUAAGGAUUUGAUCAAAAUGAGCUUUAACCUUGAGAGCCAUUAACUGGAUUGUUUUGUUAGAAAGAUGCCUUUGGAAUAAAAAUGUGGAUAAUCUUGAAAUUCCAAAUGGCUCCAUUUUUCUUAGCUGGAGAUUUGUAUACUUGAUAACAAAAAAACCCCCAAAGAUAUGUAGUUAUUAUAAAAAGCAAAAAACCAAACCUCUUGCCAUCAAGUCGAUUCCAACUCAUAGCAACCCUGUAGGACAGAGCAGAACUGCCCCGUAGGGUUUCCAAGGAGCUGCUGGUGAAUUCGAACUGCUGACCUUUUGAUUAGCAGCUGUAGCUCUUAACCACUACGCCACCAGGGUUUCCAUAAUUAUUAUAGAGUUUUGUUAAGAAAAAAAUUUAUAAAUAAAAUUACUUUAAAUGUACUAGGAGCUAAAUUUUAUAAAAGAACUUGUGAGUGAAUCCUGUUUUAUAAAAGGAAGAACGAUUUCUUGUGACAGUCCCUAUUUUUUCAAUCAGGUUCUUAAUUAUUUGAUUUUCUCUAAAUUAUGCCUAAGGUAAACCCCUAGGAAUAAACCUGUAUAAUGUGACUAUAUGUUUUAUAAUUAAAUAAAAUUAAAUUCUCGAUGCUGUUACUUUGAAUUUUAUCAAUUGGCAUUCUAACAUUGUUAUUUACAAAGUUUUCCCUUAGAUAAUAAAAAUUUAUGAAGUAUUGAGUUAGUAUUGUUCUUUAUAUGCAUUAAGAUUUGGAUUUUAUGUAACAGUAGCUUUUUUAGUUUGAUUAUUCCCCAAUAUAUUUUUUUCUUUCUCUGCUUUACUACUCAGUGAACUUUUAUAAGGAGCCGCGGUGGCACGGUAGUUAAGCGCUUGACUGCUAACUGAAAGACUGGAGGUUCGAACCUACCAGCUGCUCCGUGGGAGAAAGAUAUGGCAGUCUGCUUCUGUAAAGAUUACAGCCUUGGAAACCCUCUGGGGCAGUUCUACUCUGUCCUGUAGUGCUCUAUGCGUCGGAAUUGACUUGCCGGCAAUGGGUUUUUUGGGUUGGAGCUUUUAUAAUGUGUCUGUUACCAUGAACUAUUUCUUCUCCAUUGACAUUAUCUUAAAUCCUCUAUUUUUUCUGUUCUACAUCAUUUUCAUCUAACAUUGAAAUAGAUUUUAAUAUUUUUUAUGAAUGUUUAUAGAUACAGGAAAUUAUCAACCUGUAUGAAUAUAGACACUUGUGUGAACUAGCUGUAUUCCUCUGAGACUAUAAAAAUAUUUCUCGUGUAAUCCAGAAAUAUGAAGGCUGAACACCUAUUUAUCCCAAAAUUAUGGGGAGAGAAUGUAUUCUAAGAAUUUGAAAUACUGACGUAUGUUUUAAAUUUUAUGGCAGUGUUUUAAACAAGCUGUUUAAAGUAUACAUACACAAUUUUAGUUAGAUAAGGAAAAGUGAGUUAGGUUUGGUUUAGAGAAAGCAUAUCCUCUUGGAUUAAUUUUUAUAUCACUGAGGCUGUCAGUGCCCACAAGAGGGAUUCAGAUAGUGCAUCAAGCAACUUACGUGAGCAGUUCAUUCACUUCCCUUCUGUGAUAUGCCAGAAAAUAUAUUAGAAAGGUUUUAGUGAGCGUCAGUCAGAUCAGUGUGUACCUGUGAUUGGACUAAUUCUUUUCUAGAAGGAUCAGUCCUUGCUUUUAUACUUAGAAACUAAUUAACCAGAAAACUUUUUUUGCCUUAUCAAGUUUAUUUAUUAAGGAAAUCUAAUUGGUUUGCCACUGAUAGGUUUUUGAGACUAAAUAACAAAGGCCAUCUGUCAAUGUAUUUGCUAAUAUAUUAAGAGAAUCAGCACAUAUUUAUAUGGUAAAAUUACAUCUUAGGCAUUCUGAAAAUCAACAGUCUGAAUUUCCUUACCUUUAAUAUCUUAAUUUUCUUAUAUUAAUAUCAAAUCUACUAAAGCUAGACUGGUAUAAAACAGGUGUAUAUAAGAUAGGCUAAGGAAACGUGAUGAUAAAAAAGAAAAAAACUCUCAACAUAAGCUUUGCCGGUCACUGCUGAGUGGACAGCCAUCUUACUUUUCCAAAAUAUGACUGAAAUGGAUAUUAAAUUUCUCAUGAUUGCAUGAAUUAACAAUGUAUAUUAUCUUUUCUGUCCUCUACCUUGUGACUUAACUUUGAACAUGUCUUGAAAUGUUGCUGUUUCUUUACAUUUUUUAGAUAGCACAUAGUGGGAAGUAGUGCUUGUUUGUGUGUGAGGAAAAAAUAAAGCACUUUCUAUAAAACAAGUAAGUCAAUUAUUUAAUAAUGAGACCAUCAUAGACAACUGUUACCUAUCCAUAAUUCUCUUUUUGGAAGACAUACAAAAUUUUAACAAAUGCUGUCAUUGAAUGCAAAGGAAAAAAAAAUAGACAAAAGGAGCUUUAUCUUUCACAAUAGAAUUUUAACUAAAAUAUUUUAGUAUUUAUUGCAUGUGGAUCUUAUCCAGUUGGAGCAGGCUAUCAGUGUACUUUGCUCUAGUGCCUAUGGUAAACACUGAGAUUAUCUUCUACUUUUUACUAUUUUAUUGUUCCCAACUAAUAUUGGGACUAUUUAAACCUUGGAAAUUUCACUGGUAUGGUAUUUAGAAUCUGUUACUAGGAUGUCAUAGGAAGGAUGUAGUGAGUUGAUGAUAAUUGAUUUAUCCCCAUCAUACUGAACCUCCCGCUCUUCUUCCACUUUGUCCUCCCUUGGGCAAUAAUCACAGGGUCGAGCUGCCAAUCUGUAGACUUAAUUUUUUCCAGCAGUACCAUCUGGCUGCUUGGCAUCAGAAGUUGUAUUGGUUCUUUGUGGUUGCUACUGAAUUUGUCAUAUUGUUAGACAGCCGAUGGGAUGUUUCUUUCUAUUUGAUCCUAAUUUUCUUUUAACUAAUUAUUGAUUUUUAUUUAGAGAAUCUUCUUUAGCCAUUUCUGAGAGUAUUCAGAAUUUUAUUGUGAAAAGAAUAGAAGGUACCUAAACAAAUAUUAUGUGUUAGCCUUAAAACCCUCCUGUUUAUAUUGUAUUCUGUCUAGUUCACUAGUAGAUCUCCCUUUCAAGAGAGAUUAAUUUAAAAUUAAUUGUGGAGGUUUUCUGUUUCACUCAAAGCCUAUAUGUCUGUUUAAAAUUUUUUUUCAAUGUGUAUUUAAAGUGCUGUUAUGGCCGCCUUUGUUUCCCAACCGUGAAUAUUUAGAAAUUCCUAUCAGUGCUACAGAUAACCUUCUAACAUUCAACAAUACUAUAUUGCCUUUAAAACAAAUGGCCAUUUGUGUAUAUCUUGCGUUUUAUUUUGUAGAUGAGGUAGUUCUAUUGUCAUGCCUAACAAUAUCCAUAUACAGUUUAAAAGAAUAGUUAUAAAAAGUACAUCUGAGUGUCAGUAAUUAAAAAAAAAAUUGCCUAAACACACAUUUCUAUAGACUUAAGCAGUUUUUUUUCAUAUUAUAUAGUAAACUAGACAUUUUUCAUGAAAGGUAAGUGUUGUUUGACCUGUUUUUAACAUAAAGAUCAUAAGCAAAAAUAAUUGUUUAAACUCUUAAAUAAUCUGUAUAUAAAGCAGUUCAUUUUGACAAAUAUUUAUCAUAUUUGGUUGCAUUCAUUAUUAAUAGAACAAGAGGUAUAUCUUUUAGAAAGUUUUUAAAGGUGUUCAUUCAUGUGAAAGCAUUACUCUUGAGUUUUAACUUUAAAUUAGAUGUUAUGUAAUCUAUGUUGCUUUAUGAUAAUGACAGGACACUGAUGUGUUGGAGAUAUUUACUUUGAAUCCUUUUUAUUGCUGGCGUAUGUGUGUUUUGAAGCUCUUAAGUGGUGAUUUAGCUCAGAUAUUUUAAUAUUACCAUAUUGGAAGGUUACUAACCGAAGAUUAAACUUCCCAGAACAUUUUCAGAAUGUUAGAUAAAAUAUACAGCUAAAUCGCUGUAAUUUGGUCGCAAUGUGAUGUUAAAUCCAGCUGUUUAAAAGUGUUUUGGUUUAAAGUCUGUAGAGAAAAGGAGUAAUAAAUGUCACUCUGUAAAAGCUGAAAUCAGACGUCAGGGAAAUGAUUCAUGUGCUAACUGGAAUAGUUAACAUGCAUUUUAUUCUACUGUGUAGCAGGAGGAGGUAGGCUAUAGAAAAAUGAAUUCUUCACUAAAUAAUUUAUAACAAUUAUAUCAAAUUUUAAUAACUUGAGCUUAAAAGGCAUACUUAUGAUUCAUGUUUUCACAAUCACCUACGUUAGAGAUUAAUUGUGCUUUCUUUAAGCAAAAAUGUACUCUUAUGUUUUUAAUUGGUAAAUUAUGAUUAGUUUCAUAUUUAUAGAGUAGUAUCAUUUGAUCAGUUUUUAGCUAUAACUUAAUGUGAAGCUAAAAUAUCGCAGCUAAUCUGUUGUUUCAGAUGCCAACUCAUUAUAAUUUACAUCAAAUAUAAAAAAAUGCCCUGAAUUGUUUGUUGGCUUUAUCUUAACUCCAAUAUGUAAAGGGGACAGUAGAGCAUUUUUCUUUGGAAUCACAGAGAGUUCAGUGACCUUUCUGUGGCAAAUUAUGUAGAAAGAAAAUAUUUAUAUUCAUUUAAAAUAACCUCCGUGAAGAAAUAGUCUCAUUACCCUGUUUGAUCAAUUUCUUGUAGCCUGCGCUGUAGCAUGCUGCUAUUGCCGUUGGUUGAUGGAAUACACUGAGUAGUGGCUAAUGGUGAUGGUGCUCAUCAGGAAGGGUUCAGCCAGCGGUCAGCAACAAAUAAUUCAAGACUGUUUCUAAGUUUGUGGCUGGUGGAAUUUGCUUCUUGCCCCAAGCCAGCGGCAUUGCUGAGCUGGGCUAUUUGAUUAGAAGAGAGGCAUAUUUGCUUCUUAGCAACUGCGCAUUUGCACAACCCAUAGUCUUCCACUGCCACCAAAGGUUUUCCUUUUGUGAUGGUAGAAUAAUACUUUAUUGUUGAUUGACGGACAAAAGAGGUUCUAAUGCAAGGCAGGCUUAUAACCAUUUCUGUCCUUGGCUUUAAAAAUCUUCAGCUAGACUUAAAUUUUUUUGAAAAAGUAUAGGCAGAAUGUAUAUACCAUGUAAAUAAAAAAUAGGCAUUGAAAAUCCCAAUGUGUUAGAAUUUUAAUAUGCAUAUUAGCAAUGAGAUUUGCACAGCAUGAAUACAAUUACGUACUGUUACUUUUUUGCCCAGCAGGUUCAAUGAUAGAAAAUCAAUUCUGGCCCUAGUGUAUGUGCAUAUAUCGAUACCACUGAGUGUUCGCAUCUUCUAACUAUAAUUAAUGCUAGAGAAAAUUUGACUAAUCAUGGUGAAAGGAAAAUUGAUGUUAGUGGGUUUUCUGUAUGGGAGUGUCAAAUUUAAGAACUAACCUGUAUAUAAGAUUAGAAGUCAGAUUUUGAAUUCUAAUAAAAUGUGGGUAUAGAAUUUGGAGCAUAUACAGGAAGAGUCUGCAGAAGAAAAUGUGUGUCUUUAGUAGAAGACAAAGGUAUUUAUAACCCAGCAGUUAAGAAACAAGUGAGAAAACAUAAAUUGGGAAAGGAUAGUCUGAGUUUUAUGAUCCUGGAAAGCCAGGACCAGAAAAAACAGGUUGCUUUUUUUUGUUUGUUUUUUUCUAAACAUAGUUUUAUGACUUUCCUCACUCAGACUAUAUGGUUAGGACUAGAUUCUCAAGAUUUUAAGUAAGAUGAUAAAAAAAAGCCUUGUAGAGUCUGUUAAUUUUAUUCUUGCAUUAUUCUUUGAUAAUUUUUUUAAAAAAUAUACCUGCUCUGCAUUAAAGGCAUAAUAUAAAAACUAUUUGUGCCAAUAUCUUUUACAUACAUUAUUUUAUAAAAAUUAUUGAUGUAAUUGAUGGCAACAUGAAAUUGUAUAUAUAAGAUGAAUAUAAAGUUAAUUUAAAAAUACUCUUCUGUAGUGUUGUUCUGUUUAGAAUGUAUGGCUGUUUUGUUUUCCAGCUUAGAGACUUUUUUCUUAUUUUUGUCUCCUAAGGUUUGGUUUUUUUUUAAGGUUUAUGACAGGUAUGAGAGUUUCCAUAGUUUAAAAUGAACAAGAAAAAAGUACAUUGGUGUGAAUUUUCCAGUUAACAAAUCUUGAAACAUGUUUUGGGACUUAGGGAAAGUUAAAGCAAGCACAGACAUUAAUAUAGUCAUAAAGUGUAUAUAGGCAAAUACCCUCAUUUCCCAAUAAAAGGACCUUAGGGCAUGUAAGUACGCAUAAUAUGACCAUCACUGUAUUUUCUUACUAAUAAAUAGCUUUAGUGGCAACCUAGAGCCCCAAAAAAGGGAAAAGAAAUGAGGUUGAAUGAUUUGAUAUCACAAGGCAGUAAUACGCCCCAUUGUACCAAGCAGCUGUCCCUUUGCAAUUUCAGUUAACAUUUUUGAAACAGUUCCUUUAAAAACAAAUCAAAGCUUUAGGAGGAAAUGAAAGAUCUUUUUAAGAAUGGUUUUAAAUUGUUUAAAAAUUAACAUCCCCGCAAGUAAAUUGCCAAAGUAAGAAUGUGAGUUUGAUGUUAUAAAAAUUAAGGUUAUAGCUUUUGCUAACGUUUUAUUUGUAAGGUAAAUUAUGGGAGUUUGGUGUAAUAAGGAAAAUGUUCUUUAAAUUACUAAACUCUCUUGCAAGUAGUUGCAAAAAUGGCAUUAAAAGACUAAUCUACUGCAUUAAAAUUACUUGUAUUUAUUAGUCCGUAUCAUUAGGUGACAUUUAUUGCUAAAUGCCCUUUCCCCCUCUUUUAAUAGCUUAAUGAUUUCUUAUUUUGGGGUCCAUAAUAAAAGCAAUUUUCUUAGUGGGAUUUUGUAACAAUUUCAUCUACAGGUAUAAGGAUCUAUUUUAUUUAUUCACUAGGUUCUUCCCUUCAUCACCCAUUGUGACUAUGAGGAGGACAAAGUCAUGUACAAAGCAAUGUCCUUUUGGACUUAAGUUUUUACAUAUAGGUCCAUUUGCAGGGGGAGAAGAGGAACAGGGGCAAAGAGAGGUUUCUGGUGCUUUUCUUCUGGGCGAGGGAGACACAGGGAAAAAAGUGAGAAGAGGAAGGAAUAGGGUAGUGGGGUUGGAGGCGGGGAUGAGAUUUUAUUAUCUGUUCACCUGAAAUUUCAGUGCUCAGGUGGUUUCCUUAGGUCUUGAAGGUAAAAUCUAUAGAGAAGUGUGUAAAGAUAGAUUCCAGUGGCAUGCAUGGUGAAGUACUGUUUUAUUCUAUAUUAUGUGGUGAAUAAUUGUUUUAGAUAGGUCGAUAUGCACAAGCUUUGUGGCAUGUUAAAAAUGAUAACAUAUUUAAGUAUUACCUUACUCAUGGCUAAACUAUAGUAAGGAUCCAUGGUGGCGCAGUUCUUAAAGCACUUCGCUGCUAACCAACAAGGUUGGUGGUUCGAACCCACCAGCUGCUCUGUGGGAGAAAGCUGUGGCAGCCUACUUCCAUAAAGAUUUACAACCUUGGAAACCCUAUGGGGCAGUUUACUCUGUCCCAUAGGGUUGCUAUCAGUUGGAAUUCACUUGAAGGCAGUGGGUUGGUUUUGGGUUAAACUGUAGCAGCUAUAAGAGCUUUAACUACUUUUUUAAAAUAAUUGUACUGCACUUCAACAUAAAGAAAAGAAAGAUUCCUACAGCUGGACCUAUAAGCAAUAUUAUAAUAAACAGAGAAAAUAGCGAAGUUGUCAAGGAUUUCAUUUUACUUGGAUCCUCAAUCAAUGCCCAUGGAAGCGGCAGUCAGGAGACCAAAAGAUGUAUUGCAUUGGGCAGAUCUGCUGGAAAAGACCUUUUUAAAGUGCUAAAAAGUGAAGAUGUCACUUUGAGGACUACGGUGCACCUGACCCAAGCCAUGAUAUUUUCAGUCACCUCGUAUCCAUGCAAAGCUGGGCAGUGAGUAAGGAAGACCGAACAAGAAUUGAUGCCUUUGAAUUAUGGUGGUGGUGAAGAAUAUUGAAAAGGCCAUAGACUGCCAGAAUAAUGAACAAAAACAAAUUUGUCUUGGAAAGAAUAACAGCCAGGAUGCGCCUUAACAGCCAGGAUGCUCCUUAGUAACGAGGAUUUCAAGACUUUGUCUCAUGAACUUUGGACACGUUAUCAGGAGGGAGCAGUCCCUGGAGAAGGGCAUCAUGCUUGGUGAAGUAGCAGGUAAGUGAAAAAGAGAAAGACCCUCAAUGUGAUGAAUUGACUUAGUGGCUGCAACAAUGGGCUCAGAUAAAGCAAUAAUUGUGAGGAUGGUGCAGAACCAGGCAGUGUUUCAUUCCUUGCUUCCUAGAAGCAUUCUGGUUGUUUUUCUUCCAAGACAGAUUUGUUUGUUCUUCUGGCAGUUCAUGGUGUAUUCAGUAUUCUUUGCCAACGUGCAUAUGAGGCGUUUGAAAACACCAUGGCUUGGUUCAGGCACACCUUAGUCCUCAAAGUGACAUCUUUGCUCUUUAACAUUUUAAAGAGGUCUUUUGCAGCAGAUUUGCCCAAUGCAAUACAUCGUUUGAUUUCUUGACUGCUGCUUCCAUGGACAUUGAUUAUGGAUCCAAGUAAAAUGAAAUUCUUGACUAUCUCAAUAUUUUGUCCAUUGAUCAUGAUGUUGCUUAUAGGUCCAGUUGUGAGGAGUUUUGUUUUCUUUAUGUUGAAGUGUAAUCCAUACUGAAGGCUGUAGUCUUUGAUCUUAAUCAGUAAGUGCUUCAAGACCUUAAUUGUGUGUUGAUUUACUUUCCCAAAAUGACAUUUCAAUGUCUCCCUCAAAGAUAGUGAAGUAGUAUCUUGCAAUAAUGCAUCAUUAGAGGCCUGUGCAAUAGGACUGCGUUAUAGUGUGACCCUUUUAUAAGGAUGUUCAUUUGUUACUUCAGUAACUAAAUCUCUUUUUCUUUUUUUUUAAAUUAAUUUUGUUGUUGAGGAUAUAUGCAGCAAAACAUACACCAAUUCUACCAUUUCUACAUGUAUAAUUCAAUGACAUUGAUUAUAUUCUUUGGCUUGUGCAACCAUUCUCACCCUCCAUUUCUGAGUUGUUCCUCCCCCAUUAAUAUAAACUUAGUGCCCCAUAAGGUUCCUUUCUAAUCUUUUGAGUUGCCAUUGUCACUUCGAUCCCAUAUAGUUCUUAAAAGAGAUGAAUGCGCAAGGAAGGCAUUUUUAAUAGUUAAUGUAUUGUUGGUUUUAAGGUUUCAGGGGAAAUUUUUGGUUUAAGAUGUAAAGACUAUCUCAGGGCAAUAGUUUAAAGGGUUCAUCCAACCUCCAGGACCCUAGAAACCUGGAAUCCGUGAGAAUUUGAAAUUCUGUUCUGCAUUUCUUCCAUUUUGAUCAGUGUUCUUUCAUAGAAUCUUUGAUCAAAAUAUUCAGUAAUGGUAGCUGUACACCAUGUAGGUUUUCUGGUCUCAUGGCAAAGGAGGCAGUUGUUCAUGGAGACAAUUACCUACAUAUUCCAUAUCCUCUUCCUGUUGCUGACUCUGCUUCUUCCUCUGUUGCUCCAGGAAAAUAGAGACCAAUUGUCGUGCCUUGAAUGGCCACUUGCAAGCUUUUAAGACCCUAGGUACUACACAAUGAACAAGGAGUUAGAACAGAAACACAGAACAUGUAAUUAGACCAAUUAACUGGAAUGUCCCAUGAAACCAUAACCGUAAACCUCCAAACCAAGAAACUAAAUCCCAUUAUGUUUGUACCUAAGCAGCCUCAGCAGCUACUUUAUUUUUUGUCAUUGUCGUAAAUGUAUCUAUCACAAACUUUUGCCACUUCGGCUUUUAACAGUUAUAUAACUUAUUGACAGCAAUUAUAAUAAUUGGCUGUGUAAUCCUACCCGUAAUCAAUAUGAUUUUUCCAUUAACUCCUCUUACCCCGCCCUUCCGUCCCUGGUAACCGCUAAUCAACUAUAGUCUCUAUGCAUUUGCCCUUUCUUGUCUUUUUAUGUAAGGGAGGUCAUACAAUAUUUGCCCUUUUGUGACUGACUUAUUUCACUCAGCAUAAUGUCUUCAAGCUUCAUCCAUAUUGUAGCACGUAUCGAGACUUCAUUUCUCCUACUAGCUGAGUAGUAUUCCGUUGUUACGUAUGAACCACAUUUUGUUUACCCUUUCAUCUGUUAAUGGGCAUUUAGGUUGUUUCCAUCUUUUGGCUAUCGUGAGUAGUACUGCAGUAAACCUUGGUGUACAAGUCUCUGCUUGAGUUUCUGCUUUCAAGUUUUGUGGGUUGUUUUUUGAGCAGCUGCCACACUGUUUUCCACAAUGGCUAUACCAUUUUGUAAUCCUACCAGUAAUGGAUAAAGGUUCCAAUUUCCCCACAUCCUCACGAACAUUUGUUAUUUUCUGCUUUACUUGUUUUUUAUUUUAGCUAUCCUAGUAGGAGUGAAAUGUUAUCUCAUUGUGGUUUUGAUUUGCAUCUCUUUGUGUUUUCAUGUGUUUGGUGGUCAUUUGAAUGUCCUUUUUAGUGAAAUGUCUAUUUAAGUCCUUUGCCCAUUUUAUGAUUGGGUUAUUUAUCUUUUUGCUGUUAAGUUGUUGAAGUUUUAUAUAUAUUUUGCUUAUUAGAUUCAUACUGGAUAUCUUGUUUUCGAAGAUACUCUCCCAGUCGGUAACUUGUCUUUUCACUUUUUUGGUGACGUGUUUUGAUGAACAACAAAAAAUUUUUUCUUUUUAAUUGUACUUUAGAUGAAGGUUUACAGAACAGACUAGCUACUUAUUAAACAGUUUGUACACAUGUUGUUUUUUAUGACAUUGGUUAACAACUCCAUAACAUGUCAACACUCUCCCUUCUCACCUUGGGUUCCGUAUUACCAGCUUUCCUGUCCCCCCUCCUGCCUUCUAGCCCUUGUCCCUGGGCUGGUGUGCCCCCUUAGUCUUAUUUUGUUUUAUGGGCCUGUCUAAUCUUUGGGUAAAGGGUGAACCUCAGGAGUAACUUCAUUACUGAGCUAAAAGGGUGUCCAGGGGCCAUACUCUCAGGGUUUCUCUAGUCCGUGUCAGACCAGUAAGUCUAGUCUUUUUUUUGUGAGUUGGAAUUUUGUUCUACAUUUUUCUCCAGCCCUGACUGGGACUCUUUAUUGUGAUCCCUGUCAGAGAAAUCAGUGGUGGUAGCCGGGCACCAUCUCGUUGUACUGGAAUCAGUCUGGUAGAGGCCGUGGUAGUUGUGGUCCAUUAGUCCUUUGGACUAAUCUUUCUCUUGUUUCUUUAGUUUUCUUCAUUCUCCCUUGCUCCCGAAGGGGUGAGACCAGUGGAGUAUCUUAGAUGGCCCCUCACAGGCUUUUAAGACCCCAGACGCUACUCACCAAAGUAGAAGGUAGAACAUUUUCUUUAUAAACUGUGUUAUCCCAGUUGAGCUAGAUAUUCCCUGAGACCAUGGUCCCCACAGCCCUCAGCCCAGUAAUUUGGCCUCUCUGGGAGUUUGGAUAUGUCUGUGGAGCUGUGGAAACCCUAGUGGCAUAGUGGUUAAGAGCUAUGGCUGCCAAGCAAAAGGUUGGCAGUUCGAAUCCACCAGGCGCUCCUUGGAAACCCUAUGGGGAAGUUCUACUCUGUCCUCUAGGGUCGCUAUGAGUCAGAAUGGACUCAGUGGCAAUGGGUUUGGCUUUUUUUUUGGUUUCUGGAGCUUCCAUGACCUUGCCUUGUACAGACGGUGCUAGAUUCCCCAGUAUUGUGUACUGUGUUACCCUUCACCAAAGUUACCACUUAUCUAUUGUAAAUCUUUUUCUGAUUGAUGUCUACCAUCGUCUACCUUAUAAUGAGUGAAUUUUAUUUUAUAUCUAGUUUAGUGUUUUAAUAAAGCUAGAGUAUUAUAUAAUUGGUAUAUAAAAUAGUGUUUUUAUAAUAGACAUUUUAUUUUAUAGUAUAGCUGUUUUAUUUAAUUUUAUUAUUUUUUUUCCUAUAACAUCUGGGUUCUAAUCUAACUUCUUUUUUUGAUUGUGCUUUAGGUGAAAGUUUACAGAGCAAAUUAGUUUCUCAUUAAACAGUUAAUGCAUAGAUUGUUUUGUGGCAUUGGUUGCCAACUCCACAAUGUGUCAACACUCUCCCCUUCUCUACCCUGGAUUCUCUGUUUCCAUUCGUCCAGUUUUCCUAUCCCUUCCUAUCUUCUCAUCUUUGCUUUUAGGCUGGUGUGCCCAUUAGUCUUGUGUACAUGAUUGAACUAUGAAACAUGUUCCUUAUGUGUGUUAUUGUUGGCCCUAUACCAAAAAACCAAACCCAUUUCCGUUGAGUUGAUUCUGACUCAUAGUGACCCUAUACGACAGAGUAGGAUUGCCCCAUAGGCUUUCCAGGGAGCAGCUGGGGGAUUCUAACUGCCGACCUUUUGGUUAGCAGCCAAUCUCUUAACUACUAUGCCACCAGGGCUUUGGAACUGUCCAAUAUUUGUGAACCUCAGGAGUGACUUAAGUACUGAGUUUAAAAGGAUGUCCAGGGGCUGUACUCUCUGGGUUUCUCUAGUCUCCAUCAGACCAGCAAGCCUGUUUUUUGUGUGUAUGUGUGUGAGUGUGAAUUUGAGUUUUGUUCUACAUUUUUCUCCUGCUCUGUCCAGGAUGCUGUAUUGUGAUCUCUGCCAGAGCUGUGGGUGGUAGUAAACACAUGCAUAUGAGGCGAUUGAAAAAUACCAUGGCUUGGGUCAGGUGCACCUUAAUCCUCAAGGUGACAUCCCUGCUUUUUAACACUUUAAAAGAGGCCUUUUCCAGCAGACCUGCCCAAUGCAGUACAUCAUUUGAUUUCUUAACUGCUGCUUCCAUGGGCAUUGUUUGUGGAUCCAAGUAAAAUAAAAUCCCUCAAUCUUUUCUGCAUUUAUUAUGAUGUUGCUCCUAGGUCCAGUUGUGAGGAUUUUUGUUUUCUUUAUGUUGAGGUGUAAUCCUUACUGAAGGCUGUAGCCUUUGAUCUUUAUCAGUAAGUGCUUCAAGUCCUCUUCGCUUUCUAAAAUUAAGGUUGUGUUACCUGCAUAUCACAGGUUGUUAAUAAGUCUUUCUUCAAUCCUGAUGCUGCAUUCUUCAUAUAGUCCAGCUUCUCGGAUUAUUAGCUCAGCAUACAGAUUGAAUAAGUGUGAUGAAUAUAUAUAUAUGUGUGUGUAUGUGUGUUUGUUUAUUUUUUGUUCUAAAUUAUUUGAGAGCAAGUUAGAGAUAUUGUGCCCCAUUACGCCUAAAUAUUUAUAUAUUUCCUAAGAACAAGAACAUUCUCUUUUAUAACCAGUGUUAAAUUAACAAAAUCAGGAAAAUUCACAUUGAUUACGUACUUUAUUAUCUGAUCCCCAGUACAUAAUCACAUUUUAUUCUUUGUUCUAACAACGUCCUUUGUGACUAUUUUUUCUUCUGAGUCAAAGAUCCAAUCCAGGAUCAUAGAUUGCAUUUAGUUAUCAUGUCUCUUUAGUCUCUUUUACUCUGAAACAAUUGCUCGCUUUUCCUUGUCUUUCUUGACCUUUACAGAGUACAGGCGAAUUAUGUCAUCUAGAGUGUACCUCAAAUUGGAUUUUCUUAUGUUUCUUUUUUAUAAAAUUUGGGUUUUGUGUUUUUGGCAAGAACCCUACAAAAAUGGUGGUGUGUUCUCAGUGCAUCAUAUCAGGAGUCACAUGAUGUUUGUUUGUUCCAAUAUUGGUGAUGUUAACUUUGAUCACUUGGCUCAGCUGAAGUCUUCCAGGAUUCUCCAAUCUUAAGUUACUACUUUUUCCUCUGUAAUUAAUUAGCAAUUAAGGCGAUUAUUUAAGACUAUGUAAAUAUUCCGUUCUCAUUGAACUUUCUCACACUAGUUCCAGCAUUCCUUGGUACUUUUCUAAUUAUGCCUUUAUUAGUUGGCAUUCCACUGUAAGAAAAAAGUUUCCUGCUCCUACAUUUAUUUAUUCAUAGUGGUAUAGACUUACGGAUUCUUAUUUUAUUCAAUGUGUUAUAAUCCAUUAUUAUCCAUUACUGUCAUUAUUUUGAUGAUCAAAUUGUCCCAGAUCUGGCCUUUCAAGUUGGCUCCUGUGUCUUUAUCUUGUGUUCUUACUAUUUUUUGAGCAUUUCAUGUAGCAAGAUAUUCCAGGCUCACCUUGUACUUUCUUUGUUCCUGCCCAGGAAUCAGCCUUUUCUCUAAGAAGCCUUGGUUUCUGGUAUUCAGAAACCAAGAUCUAGGUGUUUGAUGUGCUCCUUGCUUCUGGUGUGUCAGAACCAGGAAAUAUGUGUAUAUAUAACUUAAAUAAAUAUAUAAACAUAUAUUUUCACCUGUAUCUGUAAUUUAUUUCUAUAUCUCUUGUGGUAUCUGCUUCUCUAUCUAUUAUGGUGCCAUCUUGGUGUUCGUGCUCUUGUGUAAUCCCUCUCCUUGAUUCUGGACUGGCCCUGUGACUUGCUUUCAUCCAGUGGGGUGUUGUGAAAGUGGUCCCGUGUGACUUCUGAGGCUGGGCCAUAAGGAGCUUUGCAUCUUUGUUCUGGGCCUCUUAGAAUGCUCACUCUUACGAUACUUUGUCUUGGAACCCAGCUGUAUGCUGUAAGAAGCCCAAGACACAUGAUGGGGCCAUACGCACGUGCUCUGGCUGGCAGGCUUAUUUGAAUUGUCAGCCUACAGUCAGCAUCAACUGUUAGCCACCUGAGUAAGCCAUCUUGGAUGUUCUAGCCUAAUUGAGCCUGCAGAUGACUGCAACGCAGCCAACAUCACUUGGUGGAGAAGAACUGACCAGCUGAAUCAGUCAACCCACUGGAUUGUGAGAUAAGGAAAUGGUGGUUGUUUUAAGCUGCUAAGUUUUAGGGUGGUUUGUUGGGCAAGUAAGUAACCAAAACACCCACAUAUGUAUGUAUGUAAUGUACGUAUGUAUGUACCUACCUACUUACUUAUCAAUAACCAUGAACUCAUUCUGAUAGCUCCAAUUUCAGUCUAGUAUCAUAGGCUACAUUCUAGUCUUCUUUUCCACAUUCGAAACAAUCUUGUCCAAUAGUGAGAAACUCUGCUACCGUUAUUCUCAGUGGACUUUAUUCAAGCUUAUAAUUUAAAAAAGUAGUUUCUGAAUCAGGUAAUCCGUAUCACUAUGAAAACCAAACUUCUAACUGGGGCUCAAUAUUUGCUCACAGUUUUUCAAGGUAAGUUUUAUGUACAGUGAAAUGCACAAAUCCUAAGUGUGCAAUUCAGUGAGUUCUGACAAAUGCCUACACCCAUAUAACCCACCCCUUACUGAGAAUAGAAUAUCUUCAUUCCCCAGAGGAUUCCCUUGUGCUUUUUUCCAGUUAGUGCCCAGCCCGUGACCCCUCCCCAGUUCAGCCUUAACUUUUUUGAAACUCUCUCACCACAGAUUAGUUUUCCCUGUUCUAGAACAUUUCUCAUACUUUUUACCUCUCCCAUUAGUACCACUCUGUUCUAAGACACCAUCAUCUUCUAUCCAAACCACUGUACUAACCUAAGUGAUCUCUCUGCUUACAGUCUAAUUCAAUGGUUCUCAAACUUUUCUGCAUAUUGGAAUCACCUAAGGAUCUUUAAUACCUAUUGAUGCCUGCCUCCCACCCCUAGACCUUCUGAUUUAGUUGUUUAUGGGCCCAGCCUUGGCAUCCAAACUUUUUAAAAUUUCCAUAGGUAGUUCUAAUAUGCAGCCAAAUUUGAGAACCACAGGUCUUAUCAAUUUCAGAGUUAGGAGAGAACCUCAUUCUAGGGACUUCUAGUACUGUGGUCUUAUCUCCUCUGUUAUACUGCUUCUCUAGUUCAGUAAACAUAGAGAAAGAAUGUGCUUUGUAUUGGUUUUAGUCAAGCAUGUAAAGAACAAAGUAAUGUUGAAAUAUCUGGUCUGUUGUCAAUAAUGUUGUUUCUUUUUCUAGAAUAAUAUAUCUUGGACCUAUCUAUCCUUCUAUUCUUUUCCCUUAGUCCUGACUUAGGCCUUAGUCACCUUGUACUUGAACUGAUGUUAACAGUUUCUAAUCAACCUGCCCACCUCUUCUCCCCGGUCUUCUAAUUUGCUCCGUGUUUUGCAGCAGCAGUUAUGGUCCUCAAGUGUGCCAUUUGGAUCUCUAUUCAGAAACCUACAAUAACCUACCUGUUCCAAAUAUGAGAUGUUUCAAAGACUUUUAUAAUUGCCACACUACUACCUAACUACUCUUAUUUCCAAUAUGACUUUAUUCAUAUUUAUUUUUCUCCAAGUAAGCUUACUAAAGAUUUUUCCAAUUUCAUCUUUAACCUAUAAAUAUUUCAUACCUACCCUUUUCUUCGAAAUCUGGUUCCUUUCUUCUCUGAAAAACUCUGUUUAGAACUUAGCUCUUUUGUAGACCAGAAUCCCCUAAUUCUAAAUACUGUAAUCAUGCAUCAUUCUCUUUCAUGGUAUGUAUUGCUACAUAUGACAUGAUGUUUUCCUGUCAUUAUUUGUAAUUGCAGAAGUAAAACACUCAUUUUAAUAUGAUUAUAAUUAAUACAUAUUGAGCGCUUACUGUGUGCAAGGCAUAGGGCUAAGUGCUUUAUAAAAAUUAUUUUAUUUAAUCCUUCCAACAGUCUUAUGCUAUAGACAUUGUUGUUAUACCCAUUUUACAUAUGAAGAAGUUAAGGUAGAGAGAGCCUAGGUCACUUGGCUAGAAAGUGGUGGAACCAAGAUUCAAACUCACAUAGUUGACUCCACAACACUUUUAAUCCAUAUACAGUUGGGUUAACCCUAUACAAAUGCAUUAGUUAUCUAGUCUAAUGUAUUAGUUAUCUAGUAGUGUAGCCUACUAUCCCCAAACUUAAACAUUCUAUUAUUCUCACAUAUUUUGUGGGUCAGGAAUUUGAGAACAGCUUAACUGGGAGUUUUUGGCUCAGGAUCUCUCAUGACAUUGCCGUCAAGAUGUCAGCUGGUGCUGCAGUCAUCUCAAGGCUUACCUGGAAGUGGAGAUCGUUUUCUUGGUGGCUCAUUCACGUGGCAGCAAGUUGGUGCCUCGGGUGUCAGAAGGCCUCAGUUCCUUCCCCCGUGGACCUUUCCACUGGCUGUUUGGGUCAGAAGGCCUCAGUUCCUUCCCCCAUGGACCUUUCCACUGGCUGUUUGGGUAUCCUCAUGACAUGGUGCUGGCUUUCCUGAGAGUGAUCUAAAGUAUGAGACACAUCCUUUUCAUGAUGUAGACUCAGAAGUCACAUAGCAUCACUUACAUGGUGCUUCUGUUUAUUAGAAGCAAAUCAUUGAUGUUGAUUCAAGGGGAGGUGGAUUAGGCUCUACUUUUCAAAGGGAGGAGUGUUAAGGAAUUUGUGAGCAUAUUUUAAAGCCACCACAACUGAUAACCGUGAAGAAAAAAAAAGAUAAUUGGUAACAGAAAUGUAACUCCUGCUAAAAUUUUGGUAUAUAUCUGCCUAGAGACAUUUUCUGUGCUUAAUAACCACUGAUGAUAUAUUAGGUAUGAGCCAUCAGGUAGUGGGAGCGAUUAUGUUUUUUUAAGAGUUAAGAAACUUCCUAGGUUUCUCAAAUGGUACUCUGUAGGGCACUGGUUCCCCCAUCUUUCUGUAGGAUCAUAUCUUGAUCAUGAGGUUGUUGACAAGUAAAUGUAAACAUAGCAUGGGGGCUUAAAUGACACAUAUUUGUUUAUAUUUCAUCUCUUUCCAGUACGGGUUUGAGGUACCUAAAAAUAUUGUUAUUUCGUGUACAGUGAUGAGAGUAGUGCCUUGCUAAAAAUGUUGAUUGAAUUAAAUUUACUACUUCUAAAGUUAUCAAAAUUAGGUACUUAUCAGUAAGAGGGGAAAUUAAAAAAUUUGUUUAUCUAUUCCAUGAUCUAAGAUAAGGUUAAAAUAUUUAAAAUGUAGAUAAUUUAAUCUUAUUAAAAAGCUUAGAGCUUUCUGGUGGGAAAAAGUGGUAUGACUUAAUAUUAGAGUAUCCAUCAAAAGGAAUAAAUUAUUUACUGGAAAGGACCAACAUCUGAGUCUUUUACAUUCUCCCUCCUUGGUUGUACGUAAUUACUGAUGUGUUAUCUAUCACAAGUGAUAAGGAGUUUGGCCUGAGUUUCAAAGAUGGAGGAAUUUGGUUGUGUAAACUGAAGCAAAUACUGUGUAAUGAGAGUAAUACUGAAUUUCUGUGGCUGUUAUCUUAAAUACCUUUAAAACUUCUUCUGUUUAGUAAAAUCUCUUUAAUUUGUACUCAAACAUUUAUUAACUCACGACUUUCUUUUGUCUAUUAAUCUACCCACUUCUCCCUACCCCCAGGAUUAGUAUGAAGCAAAUUUCAGACAGAGUAGAUUUUGUCCCUGAAUAUUUCCGCAUGUUUCUCUAAAAUAUAAGGAUUCUUAAAGAAACCAAAAAACAUACAAUACCAUUAUUCCAUCUAUGAAUUAAUAAUAAUUCCUUGUUCUCACUAAAUAUUGAGUUAAAAACUAUAUUUUUAGUAAGUUAAUCUGUAUAUGUAGUAGGAUUCUUGUAUGGUAUGAAGGUACACUGGAUUGGGGAAGGUAUAUUGGAUUUUGACUUUGUAAUUUCUAUAGAUGAAAGUUCAAAUUUUACUAGCACCCCAUAUUAAAUAACGUAAAAGAACAUGAAUUACACCAUUUCAAAAACAAAAACAAAAAAUGGGUCAACUUAAAAAUCAGAUCCUGCUGGGGAUGGCACCUCAGUUGGUCAUAAGAAUCAGGUGACUUUAGGGAAUUUUCUUCUUUGCUUUUAACUUGUUAUGACCAUUUUCAAAUAAAAGGAUUGGAUGAAGCAGUUUCAGUUAAAUUCUUCAAAGAUCCUUAACUCUAGUCUGGGUUUCUUUUGAACUCUUAAUUUCCUAGGGCAGGCAUAUAUUUUCUGACACUCAUGCAAAUUGGAAACCCUGGUAGAGUAGUGGUUAAGAGCUCUGCUGCUAACCAACAGGUUGGCAGUUUGAAUCCACCAGGUACUCCUUGGAAGCCCUAUGGGGCAGUUCUACUCUGUCCUGUAGGGUCACAAUGAGUAGGAAUCUAAUCAAAGGCAACAUUUUUUUUUUCAUGCAAGUUAAUUAUUUGUAAAGUCUGGCUCUUGCUGCUUUAAAGAGUCUGUCAAUAUUAGCAAAUGUAAAACUUGACUCAUUUAAUAGCAGUUCUAUAUUUCAUUCAUCUACUUUUAAAAAUAAAUCUUUAUUUUUCUUAUAGGCGAGAGAAUCAUUGACUGUGAGAGUCAAAAGUGGUCUCAGAGAAUAUUUUACAGAUGAGGAAGCUGAAGUUCUGAUGUGUUGAGUGACUUAUCCAAGGUCACACAGACUGUUAGUGGCAGAAUUUGUUCUAUAACUUAAAUUAUAUGCCUCUCAUUUGGGGUUAGGGCUUUCUAUCUCUUACCCUUACUGGUCUAACUCCCUUGCCAAGUCAUACGUAAUAGCAGUUGCUAUUUAUUAUUGUUUAACAGAAAAUAAUUUUAAAACUCAGAAUUACAAAAAGUAAACCUUUUCUAGAAAAUUUGGUGUAAUUUCACUUACUGUAUGAUUUAAGAGUCCUCCCCUUCUUCCUCUAAAGCUAUGGUGGUGAGGUGGCUUCUCUUGUCUGGAUACUAAGCUAUGAAGAAUUUUAAUGUAAGUAAGGCUUCUCCAUUUAAGACUUUCAGUUUCUGAUUCCAGGGCACAGGAUUAGAGGAAGGAGCUCUCUAGAGGGUUCCUGAAACUUUUGCUCAUCUUGGGGAAUUAACAGUUUAAGUUCUGGUCAGCCUAAUUGUGUUAAGAAUAGUUCGGAAAUGUGCUUUUGCCUACUUCACAUGCAGAAGCUCAAAACCAGGUAAAAGUAAGCCUGUAUGACCUGGGGAGGAUUAUCCUAGAAACAGCAGGUAGGUGAAGAAGUUUAGCAUUUCAUAUAUAAGGUCCUAAUUUCUAGCAAACUCCAUCUAACUGCUAGUCUGGAGUAGUCUGAUUGCCAUUAGGAAAGAAUUGGUUUCUUAGAAGAGAAAAAUAAUGGGGGAAACUUUUUAAGAGCUUUAUUACAUUCUCUCUCAUGAAAUUAUUUCUGCAAUGUAUUGAUUAAUAUCUAACUUUAAGAAUUUUAUCUAGGCAUUAUAACUUUGAAAUAUGAAAAUUCCUUGCAAACAUCCUUAGAUUGCCUUCUGUCUGUCUGCCUUGUAAAAGAUCCUUUUAGUUAAAUGGACCAUCCUCCUUAAAUGAUGUCAUUAGCUCAGAUUGAAAAGACAUUGCCUGGAGGGAAAUCAUUUAAUUGAACUAAAGUGCCUUAUUUCUGUAGAUCUUGGAGCAGCUUGCUCACUCUUAUCUUCAGAUUAGGUAAUUUAUAUCAGAUAAUUUUUUCAACUCUAUGAAUGAUAAAAUGGUAAGAAAAGUAAUCUCCCUUUUAGGGUAUUUUGGUGUUUCAUAGUUUUCCUUUAUAACAGAGUUAGAAUUGAUGGUUCUUAAAAUGUAGACUAAAGUCUUAUUUUUUUCAGAUAAAAAGUGUUUUAGUUCAUUAGACUAGAUUAUUAAUGCAUUUAGGUUAUACAGGUUAGUGAUUCCAAAAUAAACGUUUGUGACUUCUAUAAAAAUGAAUCAACUAAUUUUCCCCUUUUGAAAUCUGCCUCAAUACAAACCAGCUUCCCUUCCUUUUUAACAAACAUUUAUUGGAUACCCAUUGUAUUCAACAGUGUAAGCAAUGCUAUACCAGGUGCUUACAGUAUAAAGAAUAUGUUACCUUUCCUCUCAGAGCUUUGUGUGGGAGCGGGGGAGAUGGAUAUGUAGACAGAUGGUUAUGGUACAACGGUAGAAACACAUUAAAGAGUAAGAUUUGUGGUCCCUCUUAUAUCAUGGCCCUUUAUAAAUUUCAAAAUUAUUACUUUCAUUCUUCUUUUACCAUAAUCAGAAAUUUAGUCUUCCUACUAUAAAGAAAAAUAAAAACACUUUAGAUUUAUCCUCCUAAAUAACUAAAUAAAGAUUUUUUACGUGAUUCUUUGGAUAGUGUUUAUUAGGACUGGGGAUAUUUUUAAAAAGGACUUCAUUUUUUCCUACUUUACUGGCUUUUUUGUUUUUAAGUCAAGUUUAUUGCAGUAUUAUUUACAUACAACAAAAUUUGUCCUUUUAAGUGUGUAGUUUGAUGAGUUUUGACAGAUGUAUGCAGCUAGGCCACCACUACCACAAUCAAGAUACGUAACGUGUCCACAACCCCCAAAAGUUCCCUCGUAACCCUUUGCAGUCAAUCCCCUGCCUCCAUUUUCAGGCCCUGGCAACCACUUAUCUAAUUUCUGCCUCUACAGUUUUGCCUUUUCCAGAAGGUCGUACAGAUGGAAUCAGUCAUACAGUAUAUAGCCAGGUAAGCCUGGCUUCUUAAACUUAGUGUAACACUUUUAAGAUUAUCCAUGUUAUUGCAUUCAUCUGUAGUUUGUUCUUUUUUUUAUCGUUGAGUAGUAUUUCAUUGUAUGGAUGUGCCACAAUUUGUUUACCCAUUCACUAAUGAUGAAUGUUUUGGUCCUUUUCAGUUUUGGCCAAUGUGAAUAAAAUUACUAUAAAUGUUUGUGUAUAGGUCUUUGUGAGGGCAUAUGUUUUCAUUUGCUCUUAGAAGUCGAUUGUUGGGUCAUACACUAAGUAUAUGUUUAACUUUGUAAGAAAUUCCCAAGCGGUUUUCCAAAGUGACUGUACCUCUUUGCAUUCCUACCAGCAAUGAGAGUAACAGUUGCUUUGCAUCCUCUCCAACACUCGGGGGUUGUUGGUCUUUUCACUUUAGUCUUUUAAUUCUACUACCUAUUUCUCUUUAUUUUAAUUCUUGAAUCCUAAGACUAUAAAAACAAACAACCUAAAUAUAACAUUUAUUUGCUUAUUGGUUGGGCCUGUCUUAAAGAUACUAGUUUGUUUUGAUUCAUGAUUCUAAAACUGAUUAUAAACAUCCUCAUUUAAAAAAAUUUGUGUUGAACUCAGUUCAUUCUAAUUACUUCUGGUAUUAUAGGAAUAAAACCAUUAUCAUCAUAUUGUGUCAUGUUUCUUAGCAUGUGACAUGAUAAUGCUCGUUGAAGUAAUACAUGACUCUUCAUUGUUUGCCCUCUUAAGAAGUAUUUUAUUAAAUUUCCUUGGCAACUGUAUAUAUGCUGAAAUAAAAAAAUUAAGACGAUGAUUUCUAAUGUCUCAAGGGAAUGUUCAAGAGUUAUUCCAUUGUACUGUUCAUAUGUAUUUCUUUAAAAAGACAUUUUACCAUUUUGACUAUUAAAAUCUUGAUAGUUCUCUACCUUGAAGUCUUUUGAUGUCUUAUCAAAUAGACAAAGUUGCUAUGCUCAAGGUUUUUUGAAAUAUAACUAGAAAUAAUUUCAAGGUCCUGCUGAUAUGUGGUUCCUGCUUCCCUACUUGGAUUAGCACUGUUUUGAAAGCUGGAAAAUUAUUUACAUAAAAAUCAUGGGUGAGUGAAUGUUGUCCAGAGAUUUCUUUACAAUCCGCAAAGCAUUAAUUAUUGUAUCCUAGAUACUAUUUAAAAACUUUGAAAUGCUGGGCUAUUAAUUUCAAAAGCCAAUAUGGAAUAUAAAAUUUUUUUUUUAAAUAAUCAAUGUAUGAUCUUAUUGAGGUAGAAGUUAGCAGCAAAGAGAACAGUAUAUUAAAUCACAUCAGAAAUUGAAUUAUAACUGAUAAAACCUUUCCUUGGUAUUUCCUCUGAAAACAAGUUUGCACUUAAAUUGUACUUCAUAAUUUCCUAUAUCAAUAUAUUUCAUAACUCAUACUGUAAAAUUCACAUGUAUGUUCUCUGAAAGUUCGCCGUAUUAAAUUUGGAUGUUUUCAUGUUCUGUAGCUCUUCUAUCAGUCAUUUAAUGUGAACCUCACCAAAGUCAGUCACAACAAUAUCCAAUUUUCUCCCAGUCUGUAGUUCACUGCUAGGUCAGCAGACUUUUAUGGAGAAGAGAAUGAAAGGGCAGAAUGGUCUGAAACAGGUAAUAGGCAGCUUUUUGUAUCCAGGUGAGAAACUUCCUCGCUUCCAUACCUAAGUAAUUAGGGGGGUAAGAAUCCUCCGAUAAUUCAGCCAAUAAAGGUGUUUAAUGAUAGAAUGAACAGUUAGAGGUGAUGAUUAAUUAGCCUGGGCACUUUGGGCUGGCUAGUGUGCAGGCAGUAGUACAUACUGGCCAUCAGCUGGUAGGUAUGCAGUCUUGUAAAGGGCUUUCUGCUCUGACACUGGUCAUAUAUCAUUGCAGCUGUGCCCUUUGAUUACUGGGAGGGCUUGCAGAGUGAUUAAUAGCUAGGAUCAAUGUUUCUGCCCAGCACAUGACAUUUGGUCACAGAGCAACCAUAUACUUAUUCCCCUUUGGCACAACGCUUAGGAGGAAUGAAGGAUGAGACCUGCCAAUUUAUAGCUGAGGAGCUUCCAGUUUAUAAAAUGAGUCAACUUUGACUGUACAAAAUUAUUCCCCAUUGAAAUAAUUAGUGCAGCAUUAAACACAAUUAGAACUAAAACUACAGGAGCAUGCUCGCUGAAUUCAAGCCAGUCGACAGAUGGUUAAGGCCUGAUACUUGGCUGCCUAUGAUGACCAAGAGUUAUUAUUUUGCUGAGAAAAUGAAAAAGCUUGAAAGUGAACAGUGGCUACUUAAAAGAAAAAAAAGAAGAAAAGAUUAGGCAAUAUAAUGCAAAAUGCACUUUAAUGUUCACUGGAAUGAUAGACUAUUCAGGGUAGCAGCACUGUGUUUGUAAACACACACAUUUGAAUAUCUGUGUCAGUGAUGCUUGUUAUUUAGCACAAUGUGCAUCCAUUCAUAGCAGAUCCUGGUUGAACAAAAUUGGUUACAUGAGGACCACUUAAUGAUAUGGUCCUAUUUAAUGAUAUAUGGUGGGACUCAGGCUUACUUUUAGUGGCAAUUAUAAACCCUGAUACAAUAGGCUUGUCAGACAGCAAAUACUAAGAACUUAACUCUGUGGUAAAACUGGUUUAAAACAUUUUUUAAAAUCUAAAACCUUUAGCUUGAAAUCUUUAGAUAUGUAAAAUAAGGUUCCUUACUCAUGUCAGUUAUGCCAACAUAUAUUGCUAUAGUGGAAAAAAAAAAUGUUUCCCAACUUUCCAGGUCUUUCAUAAAGUAUAUAGACUAGUGGUCUUUGGUUUUGGUAGUAAUUAACUAAUGGUUCACAUUGUCUUUGAAGUGCUGGCUAUAUUUUUUGUGGUGUUUAGUUCACGGUGAGUUUUAUACUAUUUUUACCCCAAAGCUGGAUGUGUUUCUUAGUGUUGAGUCAUUUGACAUUCUGUUUAUAAUUACUCCAAAGAGACGAGUUCAGGAGGUUGUCAAGACCUAGUGAGUAUGCCACAUGGCUUUAUAAUUAUAUCUAAAAUACCUCUCUGCAUGUAUAUAAUAUUAUGCAGAUACCUUAGGGAGUGAGACUUUAGGAUUCAGAAAAAACUACAAGAAAUUUGUAUGAAUGGAAUUUCAGUUUUCCAGUAUACACACUCGAUUAGAGCUGGAGGUGCAUUUUGUGCUCACUGUUAUAAAAAGUCAACUUUCUUAUGUCAUUAAAAAGAGAUCGAGGACUAGUAUGCUGCUUGAUAUUUAUGCCCCUUUUAUUUAUAGUUAAAUACAGUUAGGGCUAAUUUAAAUUCUGGUAGUUUCGGGUUAAUUUCUUAAUUUGUAACAUAUCUACAGUUCUUAAUUUGUAAUAUAAGAUAAGCUAAUUAUUACCUAGGCUUAUAUGCUUUUUUUUUUUAAUAUGCUACCUUUUUCUCUUAAGGACUCUAAGUGCUCUGUUUUCUCCUAUACCAUCUUUUCUUUCUUCUCUCUCUCUCUCUCUUCCUUCCCUCCCUCUCUCCGUUUUACCGUUCCUCCUCCCCCUCCCUUCCUCCCUCCCUCCCACCGGAAAGACUGAGUGAUUGGAAGGUCCUAUGACUUAUUCAAGAGCACGGUCAGUGACACGGGCAUUAUUAGAAGCCAGGACUUACUUCUAAUUAUCAACUCAGUUUUGUAGUUCUUUAACUUUGUAACAAUAUAAAAUCAUCACGGUCAACAUUCACGAAAUCUCAUAAGAUAUCUUUAGUAGUAUUUUAUAAGUAUUCAAACCCAUUUUCUUUUUUUUUUUUUGUUCCUAGAAGCUGUAGUGAUUCUGUUCUUAUCUAUCCACACAUUUCUUAAUAUCCUCUCUUGACCAACAGCACAAGUGUAUGUGUGAGUUGGUGGGGGCUUAGAAUGAGAUGGUUAGAAAUUGUUGAUGAAUGUGAAUUAAAACAAAAUUCUGAGAGCAAACCAAAGAACUUGGCUUUAUUCUUACUUAUGAUCUUGAAGCACUUACUGGUGAAGAUCAAAGACCACAGCCUUCGGUAUGGAUUGCACCUCAACAUAAAGAAAACAAAAAUCCGCACAACUGGACCAAUGAGCAACAUCAUGAUAAACGGAGAAAAGAUUGAAGUUGUCAAGGAUUUCAUUUUACUUGGAUCCACAAUCAACAGCCAUGGAAGCAGCAGUCAGGAAAUCAAAAGACGCAUUGCAUUGGGUAAAUCUGCUGCAAAGGACCUCUUCAAAGUGUUGAAGAGCAAAGAUAUCACCUUGGAGACUAAGGUGCGCCUGACCCAAGCCAUGGUAUUUUCAAUCGCAUCAUACAUGUGAAAGCUGGACAGUGAAUAAGGAAGACCAAAGAAGAAUUGACGCCUUUGAAUUGUGGUGUUGGCGAAGAAUAUUGAAUAUACCAUGGACUGCCAAAAGAACGCACAAAUCUGUCUUGGAAGAAAUACAACCAGAAUGCUCCUUAGAAGCAAGAAUGAUGAGACUGCGUCUUACAUACUUCGGACAUGUCAGGAGGGAUGAGUCCCUGGAGAAGGACAUCAUGCUUUGCAGAGUACAGGGUCAGCAGAAAAGAGGAAGACCCUCAAAGAGGUGGAUUGACACAGUGGCUGCGACAACGAGCUCAAGCAUAACAACGAUUGUAAAGAUGGCGCAGGAGCGGGCAGUGUUUUGUUCUGUUGUGCAUAGGGUCGUUAUGAGUCAGUACUGACUCGACCGCACCUAACAACAACAGCAACAUGAUCUAAUCUGAGAGAGCUGGACACUGAGGACAGAAAAACUAAAAAUAAGCUGAUAUUGAUUAUGUGGAGGCCUUGGACUUCCGCUUUUACUUCAUUUUCUGUACCAUGGAGUUGUGUAAGGGUUCAAAUGAUUUAAAAAAUAAUUAAUUAUGGGGAAAAGAGAUUUAGAGGGUUGAGCUAGUUAUGUAUUAGUUAAUUGCUCUCUAAAAAAGAAAGGAAGAAGAGAGAUAAGAUUUUCUUAACCUUAAAAAACGAACAAACAAAAAAACAACCUGGAGAUCUUUAUAGGUAGGAUAAAGUCAAAGAGAAGCAAGAUAUUUUAGAACUGUCAUCUUGGAGAGAAAGUAUUUUGUUUGAAUAUAGACUGAGAUAAUUUACGUACUGACAAGGCCAUAACCCUGCUCUAGCUAGGGCAGUUGUUGUUUAUUAUAAUUAAGAACGUUUUCCUUUACGUGUACACAUAUACACAGCCAGAAAGAAAUAAACUUUUAGGGAUAGAUAUUUAUAAAUGGGUGUUGCUUAUCUAUUUUUAUUCUUUCUAGGCAUGAAAACUUUUAGACUAGUAGAUAGGGCCCAUUUGUUCUAGCCAUUCUAUAUGUUGCAUUAUAGAAUGGGGUUCUUUAAUAUGGAAAUUUAUGGAGAUUGUAAAAGGACUCACCAAGCCAAAAACCAAACCCAUUGCCACUGGAGUCGAUUCCGACUCAUAGCGACCCUAUAGGACAGAAUAGAACUGCCCCACAGGGUUUCCGAGCAGCAGUGGAUUCGAACUGCUGACCUUUUGGCUAGCAGCUGUAGCUCUUAACCACUAUGCUACCAGGAUUUUCAAAAGGACUUACAGUGGAUGAAUAAAUUCACACUCAAUAACGAGAAUUAUAUCAUCUACUCUGACUAGACUGUACCGUACUAUAUUAGACUUACACACAACAAACUAUAAAAACUAUGUUGUAAGGUCUGCCAUCAGUCUACAUACCCUCUUCACUAAGGAAGCUGGUGAUAACCCCCAGCUGGUGAGGCUAAGGAUGUAGUUCUGAUACAAUCUGUAUUCUCUUACUUUGACCUCAGGUUUCUUCUGCCUGGUCUGGCCUGUGGUGGAUGUCCACUUCCCGCUUAAGAUGUGGGUUAAAGUGUUAUACUUUAAUUUCUUUGUCAUUUUGCUUUCUUACUGCCUGCCCCGAAAAUUGCUGGUUGCAGCUGUAGAUUACUAAAGCUCUUCUUUCCAACCUGAAUAUUAAUGUGGACAGACCUCAUUCCCAAUACUCUGUGUUGCAAGAAGAUGGCUCCUAUUCUUAUGAGGCUGAUAAAGUUACGUACCUGAAUGUAGAAGGUAUAAUAUGUCUGUGCAACUUCCAAAUGCCGUCCAUUGCAGUCGGAACAAAACCUGACAGUACCUAAUUGUGGUUUAUGAGAAGACUCAAUGGAACGGGGCUCUGUCUGCCUCGUACCACUCUCUCCCUGGCUGAUCGUGCUGUAGUCCCACUGGCCUUUCUUCUGCCCUUUGAAAGUGCCAGGCUCACUCCUGCCUUAGGCCCUAUGCCCUGCUAAUACUCUGCCUGGAGGGCUCUUCUCCACUCUCUCCUGCCUCCUCCCAUCUUGACACCACUGGCUCUUUUAUAUCCCUCAGUGGUCACCUCUUCAGAGAGUCCUUCCCAGACCAUCCUUUCUAAAGUAGCACCCCCAUGGCUGCCAUCAUUCUCUACUCCACUAGUCUGCUUUACUCUCUUCUUACCACCUACCUUCAUCUGAAAUUAUUUAUAUGUUUACUUGUUUCCGUUUACUAGAAUGUAAUUUUCAUGAUGGUAGAGGCCUCGUGUGUCUUGUUCAAUACUGUAUCCCCAGUCCUAAAAUGGUAGAUCUUUAAUAAAUAUUGAUUAAAUGAAUGAAUUUAACGUUUUUACAUUUGUAUCUUUUUGCCUCUGUACUUGUCUGUGGGAAUGACAUAAAGUUAAGGUAGUUUUUGUUCUAUAUAUUCUCUCUUGGAGGAGUUGAAUUCUAAUCCUGUUGUUGUUGUUGUUAGGUGCUGUUGAGUCAGUUCUGACUUGUAGCAACCCCAUGUACAGCAGAAUAAAACACUGCCUGGUACUGCACUGUCCUCAUAAUCAUUAUGCCUGAGCCCGUUGCUGCAGCCACUGUGUCAGUCCAUCUUGUUGAGGGUCUUCCUCUUUUUUGUGUCCCCCUACACCCCACUUCCUGGUUUCUCUUGUCAUGAUUACCAAACAGUUUGUAUAGUAUUGCUAGUUCAGCCCUUAGGCCCAGGCAAGAGGGGCUCCUGUUUUGGGUCCUGUACUUUAGAGGGCCCUGAUUAGACCCUUUCUCCAGUUGUACCCCUCCUGUCUGGGGUCAAGGGGAAGUGUUCAACCUGUGUCUGCACCUCUCCUCUCCUUAUGUUCUAGAUUGUACUUUGGGGGACAGAGUCCCUGAAAUCCCUGCUGAAAUGGCCCCAGGCUUGUUCCUGGGGCCCGUGUGGUCCUCUUCCCUGGGUCUGCCCUUUGGUAGGUGGGCUGUAUUAUUGGUGUGUGUACUCAUAAGCAUAGGGGGUAGUAGCUAUGGGUUGUGUGCAGGGGAGUGUGGACAGAGCAUGGAAGGGCGGGCAUGUGCACGAGGCUCUUUGAGGUGUGGUAUGGAGCCAGGGGUAGGAAGAAAAGGAAUGUGGAACUCUUAGAAGCCUGAGAUUCUAAAUUCAAGCCUGGUCUUCUACAUUAUUACUUUGGUAUAUAUUUGCCAAAGUUGGAAGACAGUUUGUUAACUUGAUAUAUAACUUCAUAAUAUUUAGACUUGUGCUGUGUGAGCCUCCAUUUGUACUCUUGCCACAUCCCAAAGAUGUCAGGGGAAGAUUUUAGUACUUUCUAAAAAUUAGCUUCCUUAGGAUCCUUAAGGCAUGGUUGUUUUUUCUGAACUUGGCUAUCUUGAAAGGGUUGGUGAGCAACCUGCCUGUCUGAUGAGCAAAAAUAUGACCAUUCUGGUUUUUGUUUGUUUUUGCUGCUUUAGGUGAAGGUUUACAGAGCAAAUUAGUUUCCCAUUCAGUAGUUUAUGUACAAACUGUUCCAUGUCAUUAGUUGCAGUCCCUGCUAUGUAUCAGCAGUUUCCCCAUUACCACGCUGAGUUUUCCGUUUCCAUUUAUCUGGUUUUCCUGCCCCUUCCUGCCUUCUUGUCUUUGCUUUUGGGCAGAUGUUGCCCUUUUGGUCUCCUAUAGAUAAUUGUUCCAAGGAGCACUUUCCUCACAGGUGUUAUUGUUUAUUUUAUAAGGCCUGUCUAUAAUUUGACUGAAAGGUGAUCUCCGGGUAUGGCUUCAGUUCCAAGUUAGAAGGGUUUCUGAGGGCCAUAGUCUUGGGGGUUCCUCCAGUCUCUCUCAGACCAGUAAACCUGGUCUUUUUUAUGAAUUUGCAUUUUGUUCUACAUUUUUUUCCCACUCUAACUGGGACCUCCUAUUGUGAUCCUCUUUAGAGUGGUACCCGGGCACUAUUUCUGUUUUCUGGUCUCAGGCUAGUGGAGGCUGUGGUUCCUGUGGUCCAUUAGUCCCUUGGACUAAUUGUUUUCUUGAGUCUUUGGUAUUCUUCACUCUACUUUGCUCCGGAUGGAAGGAGACCAAUAGUUGUAUUUUAGAUGGUCACUUGCGAGCUUUUAAGUCUGUAGAUGCUAGUUACCAAAGUAGGACGUAGAAUGUUGUCUUUAUGAAUUAUGUUAUGCCAACUGACAUAGAUGUCCCCCGAGACAAUUCAGUUUUGACCCAACAUUUUAUUAUGAAAAAUUUCAAACAUACUGCAAAGUUGAAAGAAUCUUACAGUGAAUGCCCGUAUAUUCAUUGCUUAGAUUCUACCAUUAGUAUUUUCCUGUCUUGCUUUAUCCCAUAUUAACUUUCUACCCUUCUAUCCCUUCAUCAAUCCAUUUUUUUUAUUGGUGCAUUUCAAAGUAAAUUGCAGACACCACUAUAAAAAAAAAAAAAAAAAACUUCCUCCUAAAUAUAUAAGCAUAAGAAUUUACUUUUAAUAGGACAGGAAAAACCUUACUCUAGACACUUAAUGUUUUUGAAGUAUUUUUCCUAGAGUUUGAUAAAUGUAUUAUAUUCAGUCUUCACUAAUGAGUUUGAGCCCCACCAUGUGCCAGCCUUCUUCCGAAAGUGCCUGUGUUGAUAAUUAUUUAUUGUAACUUGAUGCAACACAUGGUGAUUUACAUUGUUCAGGUAAAUUAGACUUUGAGAAUACAAAGACCGUUUCCUUCAGAAACAAAUUCUAGUGUAUGGAGGGUGACAGACAGCGUCAUGUAGAUUAUAGUGCAGGAUGAUAAGCAAUAGUCUGCUGAUAAAAGUUUAAUUUAACAUUUAACUGGCUCUCAGGGGGAAAAAGCCCUGAUACGUAGCAUUUACUGAUUUCUGUUGCAUAAAUACUUCCACUACGGACUAUUUCAAGCAACCAACAUGAUGUCAUAGUAGAGCUGGGGAGAGAUGGUAACAUUUGGCUCAUGAUCUAGCUCAAGCUGGCUCCCGCACAGCAGUGAAAGUGUUAUGAUAGAGAUGAUUUCCUAAUCCCAAGGAAGGCAUCCUGAAGAAAAUAAUGGUUAAGCUAACUCUCAAAGAAUGAAUAUGAGCUAAAUAAUGAAGGGUAAGAGAGUGGGCCAGUUGAUGCUGAAUUGGUAGCAGGUUCAUUCAGAUCCUGGAGGGUCUUGUUUACAUUGCUAGGGAGUUCAGAUUUUAUCCUGAAAGUAAUCAGGGAACUAUCAUAAUAGGUAGAGGGGUGACAUCUUUUUUUUUUUCUUUUUAACCCAGAAACGGUAUGGAUUGGGAGAGGACGGGAACAAAGGCAAGGGGAAUGGAGAAGAGGGGACAAACAAAAAAUUUUAGAAUCAUGAAUAGAUAGGACUUGGUAACUGACUUGGAGAAGGUAGAAUCAAGGACAACUCCUAGAUGUCUACCUUAGGCAAAUGAGGGGAGCAGUACACUUUAUUGGGAUAAUACAAGGGGGAAGAAUGAUUCGGGGAGUCUUUAAAAAUAUUAAGUUGGAACUGCUUUGGGGACAUGCAGGUAGCAAUGGUGGCAGCUGGAUAUGGGUCUGGAGCUUAGGAGAGUGAUCUGGGGGUAAUCCUAAUAUAUGCAUUUCAGGUAAAGCAGAAUGGAUUACAUUUGGUAAAUUUGGUGUUCUUUUGGGGGAUGCUUCUAAAAUGCACUAUUUAAUUCAACUCUUUUCUUUUUCUUUAGUCUAACUUUUUUAUUAUAACAAAGAAAAACUUUUAACCAGUCUCUUCAGAAGAUGCCUAAGAUAAUGUUUGUUUAUUGGAAUUCGAUGUAGCGCAUAGUCAUUUACAUCCGAUUUUGUUGCAGUAAAUCAGACAUUAUGGCUGAUUGAGACUUUAAUCUGCUUUAUGUUAACUGUCAGUUAAAUAACUAUCAGGACAAGGUGAUUCUACAGUGCUAACAAAAAAUUUCUCGACAUGUGUAUACACGAUAUUAUAAUGUCUUACAUACCACACGACCACCCACUGCUAUUGAGUCGAUUCCGACUCAUAGUGACCUUAUAGGACAGAGUAGAACUGCCCCAUAGGGUUUCCAAGGAGCGCCUGGUGGAUUCAAACUACUGCCCUUUUGGUUAGCAGCCUUAGCUCUUAACCACUACGCCACCAGGGUUUCCUAAAUGUCUUAUAGCAUUUUAAUAUUCAGUAAAAUAACCUAGUUCCUGCUCUGACCCAGGAUUGUGCCAGAUAUUGGGAAUUCAUCAGGUCUGCCCCUGUUCAAGCUUAAAGUCUAGUAGAGAAAAUAGACAUCAAUCACAUAUUAUUUAAAAAUUCUAAUAAGCACAUCAACCGCCCAUUUAUCACUUUGCUGUACUGUAGUAGCUUACGCGUUGCUCUGAUGCUGGAAGUUAUGCCACCAGGGUUCCAGUUACCAGCAGGGUUGCCCACUGUAUAUAAGUUUUAGUAGAGCUUCCAGACUGAGACUAGGAGGAGAGACCUGGUGACUCUACUUCUGAAAAUUAACCUGUGAAUCACAACAGAAUAUUGCCCGAUAACUGUGCUAGAAGAUGGGCCCUCUAGGUUGGAAGGCAUUACACAAUGGCAGCAACAAUGAACUCAGAGAUGCCAAUGAUCAUGAAGAUGAUGCAGGACUGGGUAGAGUUUUGUUAUGUUGUACAUGGGAUCACCAUGAGUUGGAGCCGACUCAGUGGCAACUAACAACAACAACAACAACAACAAAAUAAGCACGUGCCAUAAAGGAGAGGUCCAGCAUGCUGAAGGGGAAUCUCACGUAGUUAAGGAGGUCAGAGAAGCCUUCUCUGGGGAAGAAACAGUUGAGUUGAGGUCAGAAGAGUGGCUGUAGUGUGAAGAACAGAGUGGAGGAUGUUGGUCAGAGAGGUAAGAGGCUGUUUUAGAAGUCUGGGGAGAAGAUGACAGUAGCUUGGUUUGGAGGAAGUGGUAGAGGUGAUGGCCUAGACAGAAGUGUUGGAAAUCCUUAGGAGGUAAAAUCAUAAGGCUUGGACGGAUUGGCAAACAGGGAGGUUUCAAACGUUGAGUCUUAAUAUUUGAUUUUAAGUCCUGUGCAGUAUUUAGAGUGUCACCGAUUUAGUAUUUAAAUGAAGUAAAAAUGGCAGUUUCGCAAAGCCUAGCCCUGGUGGGGCAGUGGUUAACAGCUACAGCUGCUGACCAAAAGGUCGGCAGUUCAAAUGCACCAGGCACUCCUUGGAAACCCUGUGGGGCAGUUCCACUCUGGCCUAUAGGGCCGCUAUGAGUUGGAAUCGACUUGACAGCAAAGGGUUUGGUUUGUUUUUUUGGAGGGAGAAUACCUAGCUUUUUUUUAAAAAGCCCCGUUAAUAUGUCUCCUUUUGAACUAAGGAUUUGUUGUAAAGUUGAUUCACUGACUGUUUUAAUAGCAGGUAAAUAUGCACAUAUCUUUGUGAGGUUGGCAUGUAUAGUUCCAUCUUCCUUUGACAGAUACAUGAAAUUUUUACUGAAAUGAAUUGGAGCUAUAUGUGAAGUAAGCAACUAUGCCUUAUUCCUUAAAGUUUUUUUUUUUUUUCUUUUUCAGAAUGGUUUAAUCUUUUUUACUAGGAAAAAACCCACAAGACCAUUUUUUUCCAUUGGGUUUUAGAUGUACCAUGCUCUGUUCAGAGCUAAUGUGAUGUAAGACAUACUAUUUUCUGUACUGUGAGAAGAUCCCAUUUGUGUUGAUGGUAUAUUGCUGAGGGAUAAGCUUCUGUCUUCCUCUUAUUACAAGUAUGUCUGUUGGCAGAGAUUUAGUAAGACUGGGUGAAUGACUUCUUUUGUUGUGUUAAUAAAAAACAGGCAACAGCUCUACUUAUCGUGUAAAAUAAGCUUUGGUAAAUAAAGUUAACAUCAUACUAGAAAUUUUUAUGUUACAGUUAUCUCUGUAAGCUUUCAAUACCAAAAAAAAAACCCACUGCCAUCCAGUUCUUUUGUACUCACGGCUUCCCUAUAGGACAGAGUAGAACUGCCCCAUAGGGUUUCCAAGGCUGUAAAUCUUUACAGAAGCAGCCUACCACAAUUUUCUCUCUUGGAGCAGCUGGUAGGUUCAAACCGCUGACCUUUUGGUUACCAGUCGAGUGCUUUAACCACUGUGCCACCAGGGCUCCUCAGCCUUUCAAUACCAAAAUCCCAUUGCUGUCCAGCUGAUUCCAACUCAUAGCACAAACCCUUAAUAUACUAUAACUUCAGAGCCAAAUGAAACUUAGUAAAGAGCCUUUGUACUAUUUUAGCCAUGAUUUCUUUGUUAUGGUAUAUUUCACUGGAACAAGUUGGGGAAAAAAAACUGAGCCAGUGAGCCAGGUAUUAUUCCUCAUGUGAAAAUGAAUUUUGUUAUUUGAAUAUUUAGAAGUUAGGAAACCUGACUACACUCACUUUGGUUUUGUAUUUUUGGAGAAAUUAUGACCAAAAGUGUUUUGUAUUUGAUGGCACUAGUUUUUUUUUUUUUUUUAGAUUGGCAAAUAGCAACAGGUUUUUUUUUUCCUUUAGAGUGGCAAAUUAUGGCUUGCAGGCCAAAUCUAGUCUGCCACCAGUUUUUGUGCAGCCUACAAGCUAAGAAUGGUUUAUUUACAUUUUGAAAUGAUUGGAACAAAAUUAAAAAAUUAACAUCUCAUGACACAUGCAAAUUAUGUGAAGUUCGAAUGUCCAUAUCCAUAAGUGAAGUUUUAUUUGGGCAUAACCAUGCUCAUUCAUUUAUUGUGUAUGGCUGGUUUCAAGAUACACUGGUGGAAUUGAGUAAUUGUGAUAGACACUGUCUCAUCUGUAAAGCCAAAGAUAUUUACUAUCCAUUCCUGAUCUAGAUAGCUCCAGUACAAGAAUGGAAAUUCUUUAGGCCAUUCAAAACCAAAUGGUCACUUCACCUUGAAAAAGGGAUGAUACAAGUAUGACUUAAAUUAAGCAGAACAAAACAUUUCUACCACAAUAAUAGGUGUUUCAAACCAAACCUGAUGCAGUCAAAUUGAUUCCAACUUACAGCGACCUUAUAGGACAGAGUGGAACUGCACCAUAGAGUUUCCAAGGAUCGCCUGGUGGAUUCAAACUGCUGACCUUUUGGUUAGCAGCUGUAGCUCUUAACCACUACACCACCAGGGUUUCCAUUAGGUGGCAUGAACGGUUUGUGCUUGACUACUAACCUAAACUUAGGCAAUUCGAACCCACCUCAAGGUACCAAGGAAGAAAGCCCUGGCAAUCUUCUUCAGUUAAGAUUACAGCCAAGAAAACCCUAUGGAGCAGUUAUACUCUAUAACACGUGGGGUUGCUGUGAGUCAAAAUUGGCUCAACUCUAGGGCAGUGGUUAACCACAAUAAUAAUAAUAAUAAACACAAUAAUAAUAGCAGCAGCUAAUGUUUAUUAAGCAUUUGUUACAUGGCAAAUACUCUUCUGGGUACUUUAUACAUAUUAACUCAUUUAAUCCAUGCAACAGUUUUAUAGCAAACUGCAGAGAUGUUAAACAGCUUGUUCAAAGUCAGUGCUGAAAAACAGGCUGGUUGAGCUGCCUUUCAAAUCUGUCCCAGUGAUUUUUUCACAAGUACAUAUCUCAUAAGCACUUCUAUUGAAUGUAUUAGAUUUCUUCAAUUAGAGUUAAGGGUAUUUUCCUUUGGUUUACUCCAAUUGGUUGUUCUCACUUAGGGCACUCCUAGAUUUUAAUAAUGUUUGUGCUAGUAAGUUUAAUCAGUGCAGUUUAUCUAACUUGAAAUUGAAAUAAUUUCUACCUAUUUUUAGUAAUGACUUUAGUGGAUUGGAUUAUGGUACAACAGGUUCUCCAGUCUUAAAACGCAAAGGACUUGUGUUUUUAAAAAUGGCCUUCAAGUGUAUUUUCUAUUGUUAAUAUCCAAAUUUAUGACCAACCCAAUUGCUUUUCCCUCUAACUUAAAAAAAAAAAAAAAAGUAUCACUUCCCUGAUCAGAAUCUUCCGGUAGUUUCCCAUUGCAUUUAAUGUGAAGUUCUACUUUUCUAACAAGGCUGACAUAAUGUCUUGCGGGAUCCAUUCUCUACCUCACCUGUCUCAUCUUAAUUCAUGCUUCCCUUCCCUCAUUGUACUGUAGCUACAUUUGUCAUGUGUUACAUUCCUUGAACAAACCAAACUUUUUCCUGCUUUUAUACCUGCUAUUCUCUUGCUAAUUUUUUUUAUUCUUGCCUUUUGCUCUUUCACAUCAUUUACGUCUCAGCUUAAGUAUCAUCUCAGAGAGGCUUCCUUGAGUACCUUUUCUAGGGGUUCCAAGGAGUGGCUGGUAGAUUUGAACUGCUGACUUUUGGGUUAGCAGCUGAGCCCUUAACCACUGUGCCACCAGGGCUCCCAGCAUAUUACAGUCCCUCAAUAAAUGAGUGUAAAAUUAAUGAAUGAAAGAGAUCUACUAUCAAUGUACUAUUUAGUCUGAGAUCUCAUCACAAAGAAUUACUACAACUGUCUCCUAAAGUCUCUCAUUCUUUUUUAGGCUCCCAAUUUCAUUCUGCCAGAUUAAUAUUAUAAAAUAUUACAUUGAUAAGAGUCUUUCUCAAGAUCCUAUAGCAGUUCUUGAUAGCCUACAAAUCCAAAUUCCUUUGCCUCCUUUUAAGACUCUCCGUAAUCAAAAUGGCCUGUGUACUUCUCUUUGACAUAACCCUUUGCUUUUAUUCAGCUGGCCUCUUUCACAAGCCAUCAGUAUUUAUUCCAAAUGCUUGCUGUCUUCAAAGACUCAGAAGAAACCCUACAACCCUAAAUCCAACCCCUUACCCCUGAUUUCCUGUUGUAAAUAUUGUCAGCCCCAUACUUAGAACUUAGAUCUUGAUCAAAUACUUGAAUAGAUUCUUCAGUAUGAGUCUUGUUUGUACGAUGAUAUUGAAUAUCCAUUGUGAAAGUUUUGCCUCAGAAUCCCUGUAGGAAGCUAACCCUAACUUCGGCAGAGUAUAUUUGAUAGAAUAAUAUGAUGAACGGAGGUGGUUUAUCUUAAUAGUUGUCAAUUUUGGGAUUAGAGAAAUAUUAAAAUAUAUACUUUUUUGUCUUAGACAUUCAUUGGAUUAUGAACAAAGUUGCAUUUUAUCUUUAUUAAAUUUCAUUGAGUACAGUUAGACUUUGUCAGAUUUUUCUGAUACAUGGCACACAGAGAGCUACUUAUAAAAUUAAUGGAAUUCCAUUAGUUCAGAAUUUGUGGUAAUAAGAGCUAUAGUUAGUAUUAUCUCUGUAAGGAAAAGGAGGUUUAUUCACUGUGCAAGAAAAUGUUAUAUAGGAAAUAUCUUAUUAGAAUGAUUCUUGUAUUUUAUGAACAGGUCUUUAAUACAACGAAAUAGCAAUUACAAGUAAUCCUUAAUAAAAUUUUAAAGCAACCCCCAAAACGUUUAUGUGACCUCAUUGAUAGUAUAUUUGAAUUCAAAUUUCUGUUCCCAAUCAAAUUAAGAACACCUAUCAUCGUGUUUUGUGAAAAAUAUUUUUCAUUCAAACUUGUCAUCUAUUUACAUGUAUUGUCAGCUGUUGUUGCUGGUUGCCAUCAAGUUGAUUCUGACUCAUGAUGACCCUGUGUGUGCAGAGUAGAACUGCUCCAUAGGGUUUUCGAGGCUGUGACCUUUCAGAAGCAGAUGGCCAGGCCUGUUUUCUGAGGUGCCUGUAAGUGGGUUUCAACUGCCAGCCUUUCAGCUGCUAGUCAAGCGCUUAACCAUUUGUACCACCCAGGGAGUCCUACUUCAUUUCAAUUAGUGGGUUUAAGUUCCUGAGUCUUUUGAAAUUCUACAAUUUAGAAUGUCUUGGCUAUUAAGGUAGACAUUACAUAGUCUGAAAAAAAUUAUAUAGUUAGCUGCUUUUUAUGUCGACAGUGCGUAUUAUUCAUUUAUUUAUAUUUUUACCAUGUCGAACAAAUAUUUGGAGAGAAAAUAAAUUUAUUUUUGCUUUUCAUUUAUUUAUAUAUAAUAUAUAUACAUUACUGGAAUUAUAUUUACAUGACUUAAUCACUAAAUAUAUUCCUUUUAGAUUAAGAAAUAUAGGUAUUAGAUAUAAGGUGUUACCUGCUUUCCCGGAUAAAUAACUUGCCCAAAGUUAUACAGCUUUUGAGUGGCAGAACCUGAACUGGUAAUCUAGAUCUGACUCCUGGACCUAAUUCCUGAGCCCAUGACUUUAACCAGUGUGGUGUACUCUUUAUAGAUAUAUAAACAGCUGAUUUCAAUGAAUGCAUUGGUAGAAAUAUGCUUAUCAACUCAAAAUUCUUAGCUGUUCUCUUUUUGCAGCACCUUUUUUUUAUUGUCAUAAAAUAUAACAUAAAAUUUGCCAUUUUAAUCAUUGUACGUGUACAAUUCAGUGACUUUAAUCAUGACCAUCACCACUAUUUAUUUUCAAAAAGUUUUCAUAAACUCUGUGCCCAUUAAGCAAUAACUCCCUAUUCUUCCCUCCCCCCAACCCCUACCUGUUACCCUGUUGCCAUUAUAGAGUUGAUUCUGACUCGUAACGACCCUAUAGGACAGAGUAGAACUGUCCCAUAGAGUUUCCAAGGAGCGCCUGGGGGAUUCAAACUGCCAACCUUUUGGUUAGCAGCCAUAGCUCUUAACCACUAUGCCACCAGGAUUCCACCCCAAGCCCCUGGUAACCUCUAAUCUGCUUUCUGUCUCUAUGCAUUUGUUUAUUUGCGAUUUUAUAUUAGUGGACUUACACAAUACUUGUCCUUUACAUCUGGCCUUUUUCACUUAUUUUUGCUGUUCUCGAUGUCCUUUUUGUGAAUUUAAAAGUAUAGGUGUGUAUGUUAGCAGAAUCAGAGAAUGGAACUAGAAGGGCAUUGAAAAAUUAGGUUGUGUUGAGUGCUUGCCAUGUGUCAAAUGCUAUUCUAAGUGCUUUACAGGUGUUAUUGCACGUUGUCAUCAAAACAGCCUUAUGAGGUUUAUUCACUUUUGCAAGGAAACUGAGGGUUAGAGAGAUUAAAUUUAUUUUCUCAAGAGAGCCUAGGUUAAACCCAACCUUGUGCUUUUAAGUACUAUGAAUUCUGCCUAGCAAAAAUAUUUUUCCAGCCCUUAAAAGUAAAGGAUUUCUUAUUUUCCUAUAUAUUAUACUAUAUAUAGUAACGAUUUUCCUAUAAUAACUUCUAGAAGACUUGUCAGUACAAUUGUCAUAGCAUGGCAUUUUUCUGACUUAGGUCUCAGUGGUCAGAAAUGAAUUUAGGGUCAUGAAAAGGAUUCCGUGCUACCUUCUUCUUGUUGUAGAACUUAAGUAAAAUUUAAUGGGAUCACCAUAUCAUAAUUUAUGGCUCAUAAAGUUAUCUAUUUCUAGAUUUAGUUAAUUUAAAUAUGUAAAAAUAAAUUUAUUUAUUGAGUUAUAGAACAAUAUAAUAUUUUACCAGGAUUUUAAUCUGCCUUCCUGAUUUUACCUCAAUACCAUUCAUACCUCUUUUUGACAUGUUUUCUUAUUACUUCUCCUUGAGGUAUUUUGUUGUUGUCUGUUAGUCUCCACAUCACACUCUGGACUUCUGUGACAUCUUAUGUACAAAAAGGAGCAGCUGCUUUCUGCAGGCAUUUUGGAUAGUCAUUUAUAUUCCCACGGUGGUAGCCUUGUUUUGAAAUACACUGCUACCCUGUGGAUAAGUAGAAGAAUACACUGCCUGAGGUAUGGAUCUAGCAGUCUGUUACCAGUGCUAAAAGGCAUAGUUAAGUAUAAUGAAAGAAGGUUAAAACAAACUCAUCGGGAAUCCUGCACGUCUGAAAAAAAAAAAAAUCAAAUAUGAUAGCAUCCUCAAAGAACUGCUAAUAUGUACUCUUCAAUAUUUAGCAAAUUUUACCAAAAGCAAAUUUUUUUUUUUUUCCUGUCAUCAGGUCGUUUCUUUGAAGAGAAAAAGAUUCACAAUAUCUUGCAAAAUCCAUAAUGUUCACUUUUUUUUUGUGUGAUAUAUUCACAUGUCUGGAAAGAUUAUAUCUUCUUUUUCUGGCCUAUUUAGGAGAGUAUUUGAAUUUCAUCCUUUGGAGUUGAAGAAACCAGAUGGCCACCAUUUCUAGACAGGGUGUAUUUUAUGUUAAAUGUUUGAAAUAUUUUUUCUGUACUUUAAAUUUAGAAUAUUUUAAGACAUUUACUUUUUUUCCCCCCCUCUGAACAUCAGGUCAAUUAAUGACUUCAAGUCCUUUGACCUCAUGAAAGUCCCAGGUGCCAUUUUGGUUUCUUCAGAGGGCAUCCCGGACUGCUCCUUUGGAGACCUGAAUCAUUGGUUUGAGACGAGCAUUUGGGGAACUGCAGGUAGUUGGAAACAGUGAGAUUAUAGGAUGCAGAUUUGUGAGAGGUGAGACGAGACUGGAGAGGUAGGCAAGGGAUAGAUUUUGAAGGGCCUUGUACGUCAUGCGAAGAAGUUAGGCUUUAUUGUAUAGACAACGGAGCCAUUGUAAGAUUUUAAUGCAGGAGCGACAUAUCAGAUUUGUCCCUAUGGUGUUGGAAAUGUUUAAUGUCUUGACUCUAGUGGUGCGUACAUAAACCUACAACAGGUGAUAAAGUUGCAUAGAAUUUAAGACACACACAUGAGUGAGCACAAGUAAAAUCGGGGAAAUCUGAAUAAGAUUGGUAAAUUGCACCAAUGUCAAUAUCCUAGUUGUGAUAUUAUAAUGAGUUUUGUAAAUGCUGGCAUUGGGGGAAACUGGGCAAAGUGCACAAAAGUCUCCAUAUUAUUUCUUAAGACUAUAAUUACAUCCUCCUCACUUACUGACAUGGUUAGGUUCCAAAGACCAGGUCAUUAUGGGAAAAUCGAUACUAUGCAGUAAUGGAGGAUGACUACAUCAUUACAUAACUGCCAAACCACUGAGAAUCAUUGCCCAACCAAGUCAACACAUAACUUUAACCACUGCAGCCAGUGUUACUCUUGCCUAUCACCUUGGCAUUCGUUAUUGCCAGAAGUACCUUGUUAAUGUGCAAAAUACCUGGAUAGGAGUUUUUUUUCUUUUUUUUUUUUUACUAUUGUCAUAAAUAUGAAAUGCCAGAUAAUGAGAUAGUCAAUAAGUGAGGAGUGGGUGUAUUUCAAUAAAAAUUAAAAAAAAAAAAAGUCAAGUGGGGGGGAGGAGGGGACAAUAGCUGGAGAGAGAUGCCAAGUUAAAGGAGGACUUGAUUAUGUUUACAUGCUGCAGUGGAGAGGGGAGAGGUCAAGAUGCAAGGGAGAGAGAACUUUCUCUUGAAUCAGAAGGAAAAGUGUAAGAACGGGUGUGAAUAUAAAUGUUUGUGUGUAUGUAUAGGGGGACAGCUGAGAAUUCCCAUUUGAUAGUGUCUUGCCUAUCUGUCUCUGUCUUGAGAUUCAUAAAAAAUGACUAUAAUCUUUGCAAAUUAAUUUUUAAUCAAUGGCUGUGACAGACUUUGCUAUCCUUUUACUUCAGAAAGAUCCCUUUAAAAUAAGAAUUAGCAACUCUUUAUUCCAAAUCAACAUGUGUGAGAUAAUCCUGCCUACCUACCAAGUACAAUAACAAAUAAGGUGUUUGUUACGUUUAGCACCAGCCUACUGUUCUUUAUUGCAGUUGUGGUCUAAUGUAACAACAUAUUUUCAACAGGGUUAAAAAAAUCCAUCCAAAUUCCUGGUGCUAUCCAUACUUUUUCUGAAUUAGAAUUUGAAUCAGUGCCACAAUACUUGUUUCACUAAUAUUUAGAGUGUAUUUUGAAACCCAAAGUUGUAGAAUGGUAUUGCUUGCUUCUUAGGCUUUGGCAAAAAAGUGGCAUGAUUCACAUUCAUUCUGGGAAAGAGUGGGUCAGAAUGGCCGCCCAGAGCUAAAGGGCUGGGCUGCUGAGGGAUUGGCUACUGGUUGGGAGAGAUAAUUUUGACAUGUAGCAUAUAUAAGCAUUUAUGUACAUAUAUAAAACUUGAUUUUAUCACUUCUUCCGUCAACACACCACAUUUCAGCAAGCCAAAAAAGCUGGAAUUCUCUCUUUUCCUUUCUGCCUUUCAAGAUUCGUACUACUAUUUUUGAAGACUUUCUCACUUCAAAAUUGCCCAUCUUGAUGUGUUUUUAAAAUCUGAUUUUUACCUGUAAAAAAGAUUGGACUGUGGGAGAAAGAGGGAAAGUGUACUGGCUAAUUCUCUGCCCCCUGCCUUUCCUGGCUUUGCACGUCAUACCUUACAGUAGUCUUAUCCCAGGUGUUUUCGUUUCACCUGUGUGUGGUUGGUUUCUAUAGUAAGCCUGUGUAGCACUUGUGCUUAUUGUUGCCUCACGUGUUGUUGCUUUUCAGGUGCCAGCUAUGAGCCCCUUAAGAGCAGAACCUGCGUUGUCUUUGUCUUUGUGGCUUCUCAGAGUCUAGCAUAGUUUUCGACAUAUGCCGGGUUUAUAAUAAAUGUGUAUUGUUUGUUGAAUAAGACAGUUAUGCCUGGUCAAUAAUGGGAUGACGUCUGUAUGAAAAAUAUUACAUUUUAUUCUGGAAUAAAGUUCUUAGGAGUUGAAGUUAAAUGAAGUUUAGAUGGAGAAGGAAAAGGGAGAAAUUGUUGGAAGGUGCUCAGUACUUGAUCCUGCUAUCCAGUUGCAGAAUCGCUUUAUGAAACUGGUGUUUGUGGUGCUCCUUUGGAAGCGGAUUAGCUAAAAGAUGCAGAACAAUGCAACUGAGAAAAGCCUCUGGCGUGCCAAGCAAUACCUAUGAAGAAUGCUAACUUGGUACAAAUUAUUGCCUACAUUCUCAGAAGUACAAUAAAUCUCAGUUCAGAUCAUCUGACAUGGGAGAAAGGAGACUUUUCAUCUUUGUUUACAGGGCCUUAUGGUUCAGUGUAGUAUUCGCACCUUCCACGAGGGAGCUCAGGUUGGAUUCCUGGCAAAUAUACCUCAUGUGCAGCCAGUGGAGCUUGUGUGUUGCUUUGAUACUGAACAGGUUUCAGCAGAGCUUUCAGACUAAGAUGGACUAGGAAGAAAGGCCUGGCAAUCUACUUCCAAAAAUCAGCCUGUGAAACUCCUAUGGAUCAUGUCAGUGUGAUCCUAAGGUCCAGUCCCCAGCUGAUCAUGGGGAUGGUGCAGGACCAGAUAGCGUUUCGUUCUGUUGUGCAUGGAGUCACCACGAGUCAAGGGCCAACUCUGUGGCAGCUAACAACAACAAUAACAUCUUUAUAUCCUCAGCUGGGAGACAAGUGAGAGAGAAAUGUAAAAUGACAUCUCAUUCCAUUGUUCUGGUGCCAUUGGCCAAUCUGCAAAUAGCAGCCAUAGUAAGGGGGCAGGAGGCCAUGGUUGUGACUGCUAGUUGUGGACCUGCAUGAUUAUACACCUGAAUUAGCUCUUUUCUUUUGGGCAGUUUAAAGUGCUUCUGAGCUUCAAACCAUACAGACUGUAUUCCUGGAGAAUAUAUAUCAUCCUCAUCCCACAUGGACUAGCUUUUGUUUUUUGCAUGGCAGAUGGAAUCAUCAAGGCCAUCAGUGGAUUUAUCUAACAAAAUUGCAUAAAGCCUGGGUAGAAUAGUCUAAGCAUUAUCACAGGACCUCGCAUUGUCAGGAGAAUGCAGAGUUUCCCAUUAGUGUUAAAAGUUUACUGAUUACAUAUUCUAGACUUUAUGAAGAACUGAAUGAACAUGUAGUGUAACUAUAAAGUGAUAUUUUAUAUCUGCCACCAAUUAAAGCUACAUGCCAUAAAAAUACUCGACUCCCACAAAACAAACACACACAUGGGUUGAGUUUCACUUGGAAUUUCCUCUGACUGGUUGUUUGAAUGUUUGCCAAGUCCUUUGUAAAGUGCUGCAUACAAAAUACUCAGUAGGCCUUGAUUUUUCUGGUAUUUCCGUAGCGCUUAUUGGCUUAAAUGAGAGUUUUAUUUCCUUCUGAGGGAAUAAUUUUACUUUAUGGCCUACCAUGAUUAUUAUAAUUUAACAUAAGAAGUAAAGCCAAUCUUUUGGUGUAAAGGAUGAUUGCUGUAAUGUAUGACUUUAUGUAAUAACUGUCAUGGAUUGAAUUGUGUCCCCCCAAAAAUAUGUGUCAACUUGGCUAGGCCAUGAUUCCCAGUAUUGUAUGAUUGUCCACUAUUUUGUCAUCAGAUGUAAUUUUCCUAUGUGUUGUAAUUCCUUUCUCUAUGAUGUUAAUGAGCCAGGAUUAGAGGCAGUUAUGUUAAUGAGGCAGGACUCUAUGAGAUUAGGUUAUGUCUUAAGUCAGUCUCUUCUGGGAUAUAAAAGAGAGAAGCGAGCAGAGAGGAAGGGUGACCUCAUACUACCAAGAAAGUAGCACCAGGAGUAGAGCCUGUCCUUUGGACCCAGGGUUCCUGCGCUUAGAAGCUCUUAGACCAGGGGAAGAUUGAUAAUAAGGACCUUCCCCCAGAAUUGACAGAGAGAAAGCCUUCCCCUGGAGCUGGCUGAAUUCAGACUUCUAGCCUCCUAGACUGUGAGAGAAUAAAUUACUCUUUGUUGAAGCCAUCUCCUUGUGGUAUUUCUGUUAUAGCAGCACAAGAUAACUGAGACAAUAACCUUUUUUGAUUGAACAGCAUUUUCUGAAUGAUUUUAUUUCAGGCACUGUGCUGCGGAAGAUGAGUAAAAUUUCAGUGGGCCUGCCCUCAAGUAGUUUAUACCCAAACCUGCAUCUCCCCAAACCUGUUUUUUUGAUCAAAUGUAACUUUCUUUUCACUGGAUUUCUGGUGUCACGUUUUAGCCACACAUCGGAAGAAUGACUUGGAUAAAAGGUCUUCAGUUUUUACUUUUGUCGUUUUGGUUACUUUUGUAAAAAUAUUUAUUUUUGCUUUAUACACAGUAGUUAUUCAUGUGGUCAUUGUUUUCAGAAUCUCCUAGAUCUGUGCUAUUUUGUACAUUUAUUGACAACCAGCUUGUUAAUUCCCACUUAAUAGGUGAAGAAAGUAAAUAUCAGGUUGCAAACAUAAAAAAAUCCAGGUUUCAGCCUCCUCAUAUAGAAACUGUUUGACAUCUUCAUUUAAAAAAAAAAGACUUGAAACAUCACCAUUUGCAACUAUGAUAGAAAUAAUUGAUUCAGGCAAGAAUCAUCAAAGAAUGCUAAAACUAUUGGGCAGAAGUUUGAAGGGAACUGAAUAUUUGCAUCAUCACAAAGUAUCUCCUCAUAAGAAACUUAUUAAGGAAAGUUCAACUUUAGUGGUGAAAAUAUUCUGGUGUUCUGGUAAUGAAAACUAUUAAUUGGGAGAAAAGGAGACCAUGGAGAUGGGGCCAUGUCAGCUUUGUGAACCUGGGAGUGAGAGAAUCUAUACAAUUGACACAUUAAUGGAUUACCUGUGAUCUCUAACUCAUGGUAAAUAUCAGUAUUUAUAUUUGGUGCUUGAUGUCUUACAUCAUGGAUACUUUGAAAAAUAGGCUAAAAUCACAUGGUUAAAACACAGGCACUUUUUAUUCUAUGUGUUCAGUCCCAAUUUCGUUUUUCCUUUUUAUUGUAUUUCUAGCUUCAUGCUGGCUAUUACAGAGUUUAGAACUGAAUUGGAGUGUUGUUAACUGUGAAAAUAGGUAUUAAGGUGGGAAAGAAGUAGAAAGGUAACCUCUUUACUCUUCAGUUCUGUUCAUCCCAGUAAUAGCUCUUUACUAUCUUACCUCUCAAUCUUCUGUUUACUUGGCAGUUUCCUGUUACCUUACUCUUAGUGGGGAACUGCACUUAAUCGUGAGCUUCUCAAAAGCAGGGAUGGUAACUUUGUGUUGCUAGUCCCAUCACAGUGCCUGGCACAGAUCGGGUGCUCGGUAAAUGUUGAAUGAAUGAACAGAUGAAUGCAACUGGCUGCUUAAUUCUCUUAAGUUUUUUAUUAUGAUAAUACUUCUCUCUUGAUACUACUGUGGAAGAUGCAUUAUAUGUUUAUAAAAUUAUUUUAAUGUCUCAGAAGGUAGGUGGUACUCUAAAUAAAAAUCAUCCUCCUUGUAAUCUUUUAUGUGUCUGGCACUUCCCUUGGGUUUUUAAUGUUACAUGAUUGCAGAAGAACUGUAUUUUAUCUGCUUAUUGAUGGUCUCUUGAUUUUGUAUUGAACAUUGUCUUAGAGCGUACUUUAUAAAUCCUAUAAGCAAGUAUUAAACUAGUAUAUAUAUAUAUUUUUUUGGUAUACCAUUUUGAGCAAUGUAGAUCGUUUACUUUAAAAUUGCACUUCAUUCUAACUAAAUCCCCUUGAUGACUUUGAUGCACCCUCAGAUUGUGGAACUACUGCCUUGUGCUCCCCUUGCUCAACAUCUAGUGAAAAAUACAAACUUUUGAGCACGCUAUUUCAGACUAAUAAGUACCACAUGAAUGUCUGUCCCCUUGGUCAGUCUCACAUGUGGCUGCUAACAGUUAUCCCACUCGAAGCUCAAGAUCAGAGAGAGGAUUAAGCAUGUGGUAUGCAUUUAUUUUCAGGUUCUAGAAAAAUCCUGCUACACAUUAACUGUUGUAAUAUUGAAGUUUUAGUAGCUAUUCUCCAGUAACUUACUCAGUUUUAUAGAUUAAGAAAACAAAAAAACUGACACUAGUUUCUGUUGAGUCAGUUCUGACUCAUGGUGACCCCAGGUACAUCAGAGUGGAACUGUGUGCCACAGGAUUUUCAGUGGCUGAUUUUUUGGAAGUAGAUCAUCAGGCCUGUCUUCUGAGGUGCCUCUGGAUGGACUCGAACCACCACCGACCUUUCGGUUAGCAGAGAGCACAUUUACCGUUUGCACCACCCGGGGAUUCCUGUUACAUAGGUAACAACCCUUUAUAAUUCUUUGAGGUACUCAGGUGUGCAUAUUAUAGCCAAUUCAUAUUGGAAGGUAGACUUGGGCAUUUUAUCAUUCUCAGUUUAAACAUGUUUGAUGGAUUUUUUGUUUAUGUGAAGUAGGCAUAUACUUAAAAUUUUUGCAGGCUAGAAUUAUUCUGGCCCUGAGUUAGAAAUUUAUGGGCUCAUUACUGAUGUGUUUUUAUGUUAAGGUGGAUCUUUAACCAGUGAUAUGUCCCUGUAAAGUUAUUAAAUGUUAUACAUUUAUAUGUAAAUUAAUGUAUAAGAGUAUAUGAAAUUUACCCCCAUAUUGGCUGCUUGUUAAAGGAUAUGACUCUUAAGCAGCAACAUUAAAGAGCUGUGUUAGCUUCUCACAGGGAACAUAGCCUCUGCUUGGGGUUUAAUACUUCCCAAAAGCUUCAUCAAGAUAAACAGUCUUUUGGAAAGAUUGUCUGAAAAUUGUACAGGGUGUCUGUUUCUGUCGGUACUCUCUGGUCUGACCUUUGAGUUUAACAAGGCUGUUUGAGAGCUAUAUACUUGGGCUACCUGGGCUUCAUAGUCGGUAGAAUUGCCUUUAUGGAAUGUAACUUUGGCAUUAUGCUGUUGGCCCAAGAUGAGUGAUGUUAUACAAAGCAGCUCUAUGAAACUUUUGUUUUAUGGACUGUAAAAAUGCUGUUGAGGACACUGAAAACACAUGAGAGAAAUUUCUUUCUCUCAGUACCAGAAACCAGGAAUAGUUGUUGUUCUCCUUGAGCAAUGAUCUGUAUUUAUCUAAUAGACAAUGAAGCGCUUAAUUUAUUGUAUUUCUUGGUUCGUGUUGUUAUAAAGCUUACCACUGAAUUUUUGGCCCACUCCUGGCAAAUGUAAAUGACCUUAUAGGUUCAUGUUCUGUAUUCUAACCUGACUCCUGGUUUUUCUUGUUAUUUUUUACUCAUAUUUAAUUUUUUUAUUUGAAAAAAUAUCACUUCUAGAAAAGUUGCUAGAAUAGUACAAAGAAUUCUCAUAUACUCUUUACCCAGAUUCCCCUAACAUAACAUUUUUCUGUACAGGUAUUUGUUUUAUCAGUCUCACUUUCUCUCUUUCUUUCUUUGUGCUUGUGUAUCUGUGUCCCUACGCACAUACACAGAUACCUCUUGUGUGCUUUCAAUUUGUCUUACCAAAUGUAUCUAUACAAAUAACUGCAAAAAGCUUUUCUUGGGGGAACAAGGCAAUAUAUUACUAGAUGAAUGUCAUGGGUUAAAUUGUAUUCCCCCAAAAUAUGUGUCAACUUGACUAGGCCAGGAUACCCAGUAUUGUAUGGUUGUCCUCCAUUUCAUGCUUAGGUGUAGUUUUCCCGUGUGUUGUAAAUCCUAAUCUCUGCUUGUGGUUAGUGAGGCAAAAUGAGGUUAUGUUCAAGAGCAUUAGGGUGGGAUGCAACACCCUUACUUAGGUCAUAUCCCUGAUCCAUGUAACAGGUGUGGCCUGCGUCACCUUUUAUCUUACAAGAGAUAAAAGAGAGAAGGGAGCAGAGAGAUAGGGACCUCGUGCCACCAGUAGAGAAUCGCCAGGAGUAAAGUGCAUUCUUUGGACCCGGGGUCCUUGCCCUGAGAAGCAGCUAGACCAGGGAAGGAUUGAUGACAAGGACCUUCCCCCAGAACCAACAGAGAGAGAAAACCUGCCCUGGGAGCUGGUACCCUAAAUUCAGACUUCUAGGCUCCUAGACUGUGAGAGGAUAAAUGCCUUUUUGUUAAAGCCAUCUGCUUGUGGUAUUUCUGGAAACCCUGGUGGUGUAGUGGUUAAGUGCUACAGCUGCUAACCAAAGGGUUGGCAAUUCAAAUCCGCCAGGUGCUCCUUGGAAACUCUAUGGGGCAGUUCUACUCUGUCCUAUAGGGUCACUAUGAGUCGGAAUCGACUCGACAGCACUGGUUUUUUUUUUUUUUUGUGUGGUAUUUCUCUUAUAGCAGCAGUAGAUAACUAAGACAAUGAACAAUAAUGAUAAUUAGGUAAGAAUAUGUUAACUUCAUCCUUAUAUUGGAAAAAGAGACUUCUGAAAAGAACUCUUUUUAGGUAGAAGGAAGACAAGUAUGUGCGUGACCUCUGUGUGUGUGUGUGUGUGUGUGUGUGUGUAAGAGGAUGUUAAUAAUGCUGCAAUCGAGGAUAGUUACUUUGAAUGGCAGAAGGGGAGAAGUGGCAAAAGCUUUUUGAUUUAAAUAAAAAUUAGGCAGUUGCCUUCUUAAAUAGAGAUAGGCAUGAAGAAUGUUUGAGAAUAUAUUUGCUUUAAUAAUCAAGCAAGUUAGUAGGACUUUGAAUAAAGUGAGUGUCUUAAUUCAGAAAUUUUUACCUUUUAUUAAGCUAGUCAUAAAAUAAUUUCACGUUUGAUAAUUUUUGUACUAAAUGUUUUUCACUUACUUUUCCCCUGAUUUUAACCACCUUCAGUAAUAAAGUUCUUUUAGGAGUUGGGAAUAGGAUGACAACUGUCUAUGUGUCUGUUCUCUUUCAUCAAGGCAAAAACAAAGCAUAAGCCUUGUUAUGCUGUACGGUGUAGAAUACAACUGUGUAUAUUCCUAUUUCAGAUACUUCAGAUAUGAUCUUAUGUUAUUAUUGGCUUUAAACUGUUUAUACACAAGAUAGGAAAAAUAAGUGCAUAAGAUAAUUUUAAAGCAUACUACCAACUAUAAAACAUUUAUUCAUAUUCUGAAAAUAAUUUUUUAAAAUUUAUUGCUUACAAUUCAUCAUAAAGCAGCUACAAAAAAAGAAAAAUGGUCUAUAGUCUAUGUGAAAAUAAAACAUAGUUGAAUGGAAAGGAGCUAAAGGAUUCAGCCUAUGUUAUAAUCAUUUCUUAUUUCUGUAGUUUGCUAGAGAAAUCUGCAGACAAAAAGAGCCUCCUUUUCCUUCCUAUCAGUUUUCCCAUUACUAAUUGGUUCUGUGUUUGUGUGUAUGUGUUUUUUAACCAAAAGGGAAGUCUUUUAAAAAGGCAUUAUUGGAAAGCAAAAUUGACCCCUCUAAAAUCUUACAAACAGAAAAAGUAAACCCAUUGCCUCUAGUCAAUUUUGACUCAUAGCAGCCCUAUAGGACAGAGUAAAACUGCCCCUUAGGGUUUCCAAAGAGCGGCUGGUGGAGUUGAACUGCUGACCUUUGGUUACCAGCCGAGCUCCUAACCACUGUGCUAAAAAAAAAAAAAAAAAAAUUCCAGAUUUUUAAAUGUAUAUUUUUGCAUAUAUCAUUCUGCUGUUAAGGAAUUAAUUUUAAAUAAUUGUGAUUAAUUCAAUAACAUUAUCUUAUAUAGUUCCUGUAGAUCACAUUUAUUUAUUCUACUAACACUAGAACAUAGUGUUUCAGAGAAUGGGCUUUGUGGGCAGACAAAACUUGGGUCCUGGCUCCACCACUUACUGUGCGUGACCGUGAUUUCCCACUGGUAACAUGGAGCUAAUUAGUAAUACCUUUUGGGGUUGUGCUGGAUGAAAUGAGUUGAUGAUGUAGCACGCAUUACACAUGUGUUAGCUGUUACAGUUAUCAGUACUUCACUAAAUCAUGCUGAGGUUUGUAAUCAUGCCAUUGGUAAUACUUUAAAAAAGAUACUUAGAACUUACAGUUCGGAGAUACGGAAAAGGUUGUGUUCCAUAUAGAGAUAGCACUGGUAAAAGAAGGAAGAUGCAGGACCAAUUAUUGUCAGUCUUUACAGUUUAUACAUAUAUUAUUUGACUUUUCUUUUAAAUUUCUUAACCAAAUUUUCAAUAAAGUUGGGUCUAUUUUUUCCUAGUUGCUUAAUUUAGGUAAUAUUUAGAAAAGGGCCUGACAUAUGAUAAACAUUAGUAAAUACUUGUUUAAGUAAUUAAGAGUGUUCCUCUUAAUUUUUACUAACCUCUACUACCUAUAAUACCCUGAAAUACUUCUCGUGCAUCAGGUUUUUUUUUUUUUUUUUUUGGCCAAAUGUCUGUAAAGGAAAGGAAUUUGUAUUUUUAAAAGAUGUUUAGUCUUCACAUUUUUAUUUUGGUGGUUUAUUCUUCAGCGUUCUUAUUGUUUUCUUGUGUAUGAAACAAUGGACUCAGCAAAUUUGUAUUUCCAUUAAAAAAUAAUAGUGGUAAUAAAAAUAAAAUUUCUUAAGGAGUUAUUUUAAGUGCUGGCCUAUUAAAUCCCCACAGUAUUUCUACACAGUGUUCCCUUGUAUUACCUCCAUUCAAAGGUUUGAAAACUGAAACUUAUUGAAAUCUAGUAAUUUGUCUAACUUAAUGGACUUAAUGGCUGUUGUAGGGGAAAAACAUCACAAAGUUUAGUAAAGCAAAAAGAAAGUUUUAUUCGGCAUAUAUUCAAAGAGACAAAAGUGGGAAGUGGAGAAGCGUGCUGCCGCAGCCACGUCUGCCCAAGUCCAAGGAAAGUUACAGAGUCAUCAGUAUAUAUUAACAUUACAAAUGGGCAAAACCAUUGAAAGCUUCACCUUUUCACAGAUUGGCUAGAAACUGUUAUCCUACAUUUUGAAUUGUCUUUCUUAACAAUCAUUCGUACAGGUUUCAGUAAUGACAGUCAGGAGGGUCUUCAUUGGUCCAACAACUUUGUGUUCACUGUGUAUUAAUAGAAAAAGAUAAGAGUGGAAAGUCUUUUGUGUGCUGGCUUAUGUGAAAAGUUCCUUAAAAGACAUUUUCCAAGAUUAUUCUACCUGUUGUCUUUAUACCUCAGGGCCCAGUUGUUGUGUCCUUGUGAGUCCACCUCCAGCUGGGUCACAGUCUCUAUGCUCAAGGACAGGGAAUAAUGACUCUAAUAUUACUUCCUAAAUCAUGGCCAAGUUGCAAUUUGAAUCCAGGACUUGGGAUUUUAACCAUGAUUCUACGGUGCGAAAUCAGAUUGGGGGCAAUUUUAUCGUGGUAAAGAAAAGCAUUAAAAUUGAAACCCAGUUUAUAAUUGUAUGUAUUUAAUUUUAUAACAUUUAAGAG